rnacentral:lncRNA from 1 species
GAUUUGCGGCAAUGUACUUGGAAAUUUGUGAUUUUGUUGCUGUUUUUGUCCAUCUAGUGAGUUGUUGUGUUGACAAAUUAGUAGUUAACUCCGUUAUGCUAGUAGUUAUUUCUAGGAGUUCUUGUACCAAAGAUGCGUUUUUUUUUUUGGGCUAAUUUGGAGGAGAAGUCGUUGAGAGUAGAGGUUUUCAGUUUGUAGCAAGAAAUUGAUUAUCUUUUUGAUAACAGUGAGGAAAAUAAAACUUGUUAGUGGUGGUUUGAUACUGAACAGUGUGUGGGCCUAUAGGAUUUGACAACGUUAUUAGAAUUCUUUCUUAUUGAGAUGAAGUGUAGGGUGACGAUUAUCCCAAACAGUGAUGGGGCAACUGGGGAAGAUUUUAGAGUUCUCUUUAAGGCGCCAAAAUGACAAACUUUACCUGAUUUUAGUUGUGAAUUUUAGUUUCAGCAUGGCUGCGGUAGGCAGCUGGAGAUAGUUUAGAUGCAAAGGGACUGAGGCAACUGCUUGUGAAAUACUUUUACUGUUUUUGUUUCAUGUAAUUUUCAUAGCAAUGGCUGUAGCCCUGGUAGUCUUAGUAAAGAAUUAUAGUACCAGCAACCUUGUAUAGCGAUAUUGCAUUAUCAAAACUGGCUGGAGAUUGUAUACUUGGGAAUAGCAGUCACUGGGGAGUUGUAAUUCUUUUUUUGCCUUAUCUCUUUUGGCUUUCAUUUAAAGCUUAAAGGUUGUUGUGAGCUGGGGGUAUCCCAUUUGUAGAUAGUUGCUGCUGAAUUUUGCAGGAUUGGAUUGUUGCCACCUCACUUCAAUAUGCGAUUGUUCAUGGUUAAGCCAUGAGAUGAUCUUGGCGGUGGCAUAUACUUUUUCGGUUAGUUGAAAGGGCUGCAAUGUUUUUAAUAACCAUUUCAAGAAAAAAUUUGGUAAAAGUUGCUGUAUGGUCAGAAGACAUUAUUUUUCAAUCUGGACAUGAGUCAGAUCUGGCAAAGUUCUACUUGAAAUGUAAUUGAUCUUCAUUGUGGUAUUUGUUCCAGCAGCAAUCUUUAAUCUAUUUCCUUGCUGGGUGACAUAACACAGCCCAUCUCUUAUACUAUAGAGAAUCUGCACUCCAAAUUAAAUUGAAUGGCCCACUCAUUAGGAAGAUUACAACUAUAUGGGUAUUCCCUCUCUUUUAGAUUUCUGGCGGGUGUUGGAUAUAUCAUAUAUGUAAAGAAUCUAACCAAAGAAAGGGAGAGGGAAGAAAUUACUAAAAUGUACUGCAGUUCCUAUAAGAAAAAUACUUUAUUAAUAAUAGAAUUUGGUACUAAAUUCUGAACUUCUUAAAGGGCAAUGCUGUGUUGCAGGAUUGACAUUCUCUUCAAUUUUUUUUUAGAUAUAGUUGAACAUUCAAAGCUUGGCAUGGUCAAUAUGGUGAAAAGCAUGCAUGGGUCCUUUCACAAUAGAAAUUUCUGUUCUAAUUGAUUUGCUGGAGUGAUAGCUCAAGCAAGGAUUGCAAAUAUCAGAAAACUCCAACAAGAAGAAAUAGGAAUACCUUUGCACUACUGUAGUUUCAGCUAAGUGAUUCCAUAAUACAUUCAGUCUAAUAUUCUUAAAGAAUGGAAAGCCAAGAUCACAGACAAGUCCAUACCACUGAUAAUGAACCAGUAAACAUUGGUUAUUAUUGCGUAAUUUUGCAGUUGAUACGAUACACACUCCACUGAUGCAUUAUUGAGAGAUAUAGAUGUUCUCAGCCUAAUAACUUUAGACAAUUGUUGUUAGCCUUUUUGAUUAUUAUGUCUCAUCAACAGAUUUUUUUUCCCUUUCUUCUUCUUGAACUUGAAUGAGGCUAAACUAUACCUUACACCAUGAAAAGACUUGUAAAAAAGAAUAGAAGGGUGUGGUGAAGGAGUUUGCCCAUGGUGGAAUAGAUGAGUUUGUGACAUUUCAUUUACUUUUAAUGCUUAAAAUCUAUAAGGUCAUACAUAUCAUCUCUAUUUUACUGUGUCACACACAAAGAUGAGAGAAGAGGUUAUUGACCUGGAACAAUAGUUUUUAAUCAUUUUUGUCCAACCCUAGUAGCUGUCGAGAAAAUCAACUAAGUCUGUACAUACUAGAGAAAAUCAACUUCCUGUUGAGGAAGUUGAAUAUAAGUUGUUGGGCAGUAAUGGUUGUGUUGGAAGUCAAAUCAUCUAACCUGCUAUAAGCUUUUGAUGACUUGUUUGCAGAAACAACAAAUGGAGAAUUUUUAUGACUGGUGAGAAAGGAAAUUCAAAGUAGGAAAAUCAUACUUUGUUUUUGUUCAUAGAAAAACUGUAGCAAAUUAUAACAGAGAAAUUCAGAACAAAUUAUAACACAUUGCCAGGUAGGCAUGAGUUAUAUGAUUUUUUUUCUGUCAAUUUGCCUUAUCUAGUUCUCUAUAAUUGGAAAUUUAGGCUAUAAUGGAAAUAUCUAUUUCUUGCAAUCUUUGCUUAUUUUCCUUUCAGCAAAGAAUUUUACUUUUUCUGUGGUUGCAAAAGAAUAAAAUAGUUUAGAUCUGCUUUACAAUGUAGACCAUAUUUGGAGCUUGGCAGAAGGAAAAAUAUAAUUAGCUCUCUCCUUUGCAAUAUCAACUUUACCAAUUGGAGUUUUAGUAUGCAUUCAGCUGGAGUUCGACUUGGCAAGACCUGUUAAUAUUAAGCCAGUAAUUUAUGGCAUGCAUUGAUGUGGACUAGUACAGACAUUCUAGUUUGUAAUAUUUUGGAAUUCUGGUUUUUUCUCUUUGUUGGCAUUCAAAACAGCAUUAAAGACUCUAAGCUAAUGCUAGUGUCUGUUACUGCAGUUGAGGAAGUAAUAUACCUUCUGUCAGGCUUGGAAUUUAGUUAAUGAAGUGCAUGUUUGAAACAAUUAUUGGCCUAUCUGUGAUGUUCUAAAAUCUUGCAUUUCUGAUUGUGUUGUUUCAGCUUGAAUAUGUUGUUGGCUUCUGCUAAUAUUCUAGUACUUUCUGUUGGCAAUCUACAUAAACAUUUUUGAGCAGCAUGUGAGAGAGGAUUACAUGGAGCUUAGACAAGAAGCCGUUGAUCUUCAAGAGUACUCAAAUGCAAAAAUGGAUCGCUUGAUGCGAUAUCUAGGUGUACUUGCUGAUAAAACUCGUAAACUAGGUAAAUGGUUAUUCAUAGGCUUUGGCAGCUCUUGUUUCAUCUGAUUGCAUAUUUUCUACAUCAGAGCUGUAGCUUAUCCAUUCUUGUUUGCCUGCAUAUCUUCGUGGGUGAUUUGGUUUCUUAAUCAUGAAUUAUUUUCAGAUCAGGCUGCGGUUGAAAUGGAAGCUAGAAUGUCUCCGCUGAUAUAUGAGAAGAAAAAAUUGUUUAAUGACUUAUUGACGGCUAAAGGUAGGAUUUUGAGUGGCCUCUGGACUCCUUUUGUCACUGACGCCUAUGCACAAAAUCAGGGGAAGAUGGGAGAAAAUGAUAAAUACAGAGAGAGUGGCACAAACAUGCACACGCGUGCACAAACAAUUUCGUCCCCUGUGGGUACAUAUGAACAACAAAAAAAGCGAAAAAUGGGAAAAAGACAGAAAAUGAGAGAAGUGUUUUACUAAAUUGAUGUGAGAUUUGGGCUGGAUGUACUGUUUCAGGAAGCAUUAAGGUAUUUUGUCGUGCAAGACUCCUUUUUGAGAUAGAGAUAGACAGGCAAACAGAGAGAGAGAGAGAGAGAGAGAGAUGUCAUUAUUCACAAACAAUUCAUUCCCUGUGGGCACACAUGCACAAAAAAUGGGAACAAGAAAUAUAAUAGGACGAAUAUUUUACUAAAUUGAUGUGAGAUUUAGGCUGGAUGUACUGUUUCAGGAAGCAUUAAGGUAUAUUGUCGUGCAAGACCACUUUUUGAAGAUGAAGGUCCAUCAGUUGUUGAGUUUCCGGAUGACUGUACUGUUCGUGUCAAUACUGGUGAUGAUAACGUCUCCAAUCCAAAGAAGGAUUUUGAGUUUGACAGGGUUUAUGGUCCUCAUGUUGCACAAGGUAGUGGACCUUAUUACUAGCUUUUAUUUGUUUUCGUCUAACACUCUGGAAUGUUAAGUCACUGUGAUGUUCCUUUCUGCAGCUGAACUUUUCGCUGAUGUUCAGCCAUUUGUGCAGUCGGCAUUUGAUGGGUAUAAUGUUUCUAUAUUUGCUUAUGGACAAACGCAGUCAGGAAAGACACAUACUAUGGUCUCUCUCUCUCUCUCUCUCUCUGUGUAGGGUAUUGCAGUUAUGUCUCACCCUGUGUUUUUUUUUUAAAUCUCGGGUUAACGGGUUCUUCAUCCAUACAUGGUACACAUCAUCAUUAAAUUGCUUUGACUUGUAAAUAAUUCUAUAAGGACACUUUCUUGAUUAAGCAUACUGUUGUAUGCUUAUGUUGAACAAACAUGACCGCAUAAAGAUGUUUGUAACCUGAUGUUUUUGUGCUGAAAAGCACUACCUGGGGGGUUAAUACUAUGAUGAACUGCUUUCUGAUUGCAAGGUCUUGUCCGCAGGAAGGAUCUAGCCAUGAUCGUGGCCUAUAUGCUCGAUGCUUUGAGGAGCUGUUUGAUUUAUCCAACUCAGAUACAACUUCUACCUCAAAAUUUAAUUUCUCUCUCACGGCUUUUGGGCUUUUCAAUGAACAGGUUCCUUGACCAUUCUGGAUUGCUUAUUUUAAAUAUUGACUUCUAUUUAGCAAUACUUGACAUUCAGUAACCAUUAUUCUGUAGAUUAGAGAUUUGCUUUUGGAAUCUCAGAGUGGUCUUCCAAAGAUCCAGAUGGGCUCCACAGAUUAUGUUGCUGAACUUGUGCAGGAAAAAGUUGAGAAUCCAAUUGAUUUCACCCGAGUCCUCAAAGUGGCAUUGCAGAACCGAGGAACCGAUGUAUUAAAGUUUAACGUCUCUCAUCUGUAUGGUCUAGCUUCAAAUUUGUGAUAGUUCUAUUUCCCUACCAAUGCAUGCUCCUUUUAUGGCUUGAUUUUUUUACUCACCAUGGUCUUCCCCUUGCUACCCUUUUUUUGGAAAAAGAAAAAAAAAUCAAAGAUCCUCUUGAAUGAUUUGUUAAAAGCCAUCAAUUCUCUUUUGGCAUAAAUUAUGGAAAUCCUGGAACGAUUAGUGACCAAUGAUUAAAUUUGCACUUUAAGACGCUUUUGCUAUUGAAGGAACAGCACAAAAUUGAUACAUUGGGUAUUGUUGCUUGAUUUCUAUGUAAUUCUUGACAUCUGGUAGUUAGGGCAGGUCUAGGAGCCAAAACUCUCCACUUGUAAGUGGCUAGGGGUAUGGGGGUGGUUGUUGGUCUCUGCAUCAGGGCUGAUUUUCCUCAUUUUAUCUGUAUGUAGAAAUAUUUAACAUUUAAGUUGUACAAGUAACGGUUUCACUCUAUUUGUUGCAUGUUUGUGUUAAUAUAUGCUUGCUCGUUAUUUUAUGUUGUUUUUCAUUUUGAGUUAAAAGUUUUUCAGUUCAAAUUUGGCAUUAGAUCUUCAGAAUUUUUUUUUUUAUAUUUGACUCACAUUUGGAAAUAUUAAAUAAUCAUAUCAAAUAUUCAAAACUGUGAUGGUAUCUAGCAACCAAAACUCAGGGGUUGUUGUCAACUCUGAGUGCUUUUUUUUUUCCCUUUGGGAGGGGGGGUUGUCUAAGUGGUGUCACGCACUUUACUAGUAGGGAAAGGGAUUCAAGAAGGCUCCCUGCCCAUUAUCAUCCCUUCUGAUGAGUAAUUGGUCAGCAGCAAUAACGUGUUACUCAACCAGGAUUUGUUUAUUUCUCCACUUAGACAGUACUUUUGGAAUAUGGUAUGUUAGGGUCCAAUUUCCUUCUACUGAUAAUCCUGAGGUAUUUUGAACAUUUUUCUUGAUGUGUUGACUAAAUCAUUCCCUUUUUGCUUCUUAAGUAAUGAUUAAGUGUAGCACUCUUUGACUGGCCUGAAGAAACUUCUUGGACUUACAAAAAGCUGUCUUUCGAUCCUUAUGCAAUUUUGUUGCUGUAUUUGAUGUAUGAAUUACGUGGGGCUUCAGGAAACAUCUAUGUUCAGUUGUAUUCUACUGUCUAGCUUUCUCUUGAGAAUUCUCAUUUCCUUCCUCAGGGUCAUCACUGUGCAUAUAUAUUAUGACAACUUGAUUACGGGUGAGAACUUAUAUAGCAAGCUUUCUCUUGUUGAUUUGGCUGGAAGUGCAAGUUCCAAUGUUGAAGAUGAUAGUGGAGAACGUGUGACAGACCUGCUGCAUGCCAUGAAAUCACUCUCCGCGUAUGUACUUCGUAUAUUUAGUUGCCUUGUUUUCAGCAUAACCUCAUUGUUUCAAUUCUCCCUUGUGAAAGAACAUCUAACGUGCAACCUUGCUGCUUAUCAACUCUGCCAUGUAUGGAUCAAACUAAAAUCAAUGUUUUACAUUAUACUUUCAAAAUUUUGAUGUCCUAAACUAAUUCCUGCAUUCACUAUCUUUAGUUGUAACUAGCUCCUUCUCUCCUUGUUGUUGUUUGUAUGUUGUCUGGUGAACAAGUACACAUUUCAUGGUAACUUAAUUCUUAGGUUGAGUUCUUUUCUGUGUCUGCAUGUAUUGUUGGUCACUGGGUUAGGCAGGACUCUUGAUAACUGGUGAUUGUUCUGUUUGGUGCUUGAGAUAACAAAGACUGUUGUUAGUUAGCGUAUGUAUUAUUUCUUACAGAGCAGAGGGUUUAUUGGUUGUUACCAUAAACUUAUUUUUUCUAGGAAAACUGACGCAUUUCAGCUUUUCUUAUGCUUGUCCUUGUUUGUGCAGUUUGGGAGAUGUUUUGGCUUCUUUAACAUCCAAUAAGGAAACAGUUCCUUAUGGAAAUUCAGUGCUCACAAAAUUACUUGCAGAUUCACUAGGUAUUUUUUCUCUUUUGUAUAAUACAUUUGCUUGUAGCAAAGUCCUUAUUUGGCACAACUGAUAAGCCUGGGCUGGUAAACAGCUGUUCUAGUUGAAUUUGGCAGGGUAUAGAUUGCAUCUCAGAAAAAGUAAGCAGAAUACAAUCUAUUCACUUAUGAGCAAAAUGAAUGUUGUAUUUGGAUAACCUCCAUGCCAAUUCAAAACAACUAGCUUCUGACUUUACCAAUGGCAAAUGGUAAUCUCUGUUGCCCACUUCUGCCAUCUCCAUUGACCUCUGCCACCAACCCCUAAUUUUGAUUUCCACUCCAGAAAAGGUCCAUGAGGAGAAACUUACUCCAAAAGGCGUAUCCGAAAGCAAGCAUUCUCUUCAUAAUUCAUAUCAUUCAAUUAGAAUUCUUUACAGGCAUAUAGGGUUCCUGCUGGAGACUAGAAGACACCAAUUCUGAGAACUGUUUAAUGACAACCUCAUAAAUGCCACACAACCUGCCUAAGCAUACUUGGAGAACAUAACUGCCCCCCAAAUUGCAUAACUUUUUGAAAUCUCAUCAAACACUUUGCUGGACUGUCUAAAUUUCUGAAAGUUAUUCAGAAGCAUUGCCUAGGUGGAAGAGAUGGGUAAACCAAUAGUAUUCAUACAAGUCAAUCAGAGAGAUGGAGGGAGAAAGGGAGGAUCUUGAAAGAUAUUCCUUGAUCUUGAAAGAUAUUCCUUUAUCUUGAAUCAUACAGGAAACAUAAACUUGGACGGGAAUUAACAUGGUAUACUGUGAUAUAACACUUGGAUACUCCUGGGACACAGUAUUGAGGUCAAGGAUUAUUGUCUGCUGUCAAACUGUUGAAUAAGAUAUGAUGAUGACGAUUUGUAAAAGGCAUGAAUGUUGUAGACGUGUUUUUUCACUACCAUGGGGCUGGUAAUUAUCACAUAUAUAUACAUGAAUGAGUAGCACACCAAACCGCUUGCCAUUCUGGAGCCUUCAAAAAGGAAUAGUAUUAAGAGGCUCAUCUUAGGUGUAGAGGUUGUAGGACACUUAUCAGAAGUACAAAUAUAGGCAGGAAACAGGAAGAGCUCAUGAAGCAGAAAAUGACAUCUAAAGGUAUAUCUGAAGUGUGUAUAUGGAAAAACAUUUCAGAAUGAAUGGAAGAUUUGAUCCAAGUGCUUUUGGGACUUCUACCAUGACAAGCAUUUAAGUGUCACUCCAGUGAUUGUUUCAGAGUCAAGUAGAGCCUUUUGAGCAAAAAUUGCACAAAAUUGCCUAAGUUUGUACCACAUCAUAGCGGAUAAAAUAAUCUGGAGAGUAUCUUUUAAUCAUUGUUGUGGAACUAAUUUGGUGAAGAAUUCUCACUGCAUGACAAAAUUGCCUGAUGGAUUUGAAUAUAUAUUAUCAAUAUUUUCUACUUUCUCUUUCUCAUGAUGGUUCUUCCUGGUUGUCCACAAGAGAACCAACAUCACUAUAAAGACACCUUUUUGUUUCUUUAACUUUUUUCCACCGAUGUGUCUUGCACAUCUUAAUUAUUCUGCUAAUAUUUGAUAACCUUCUGAGUUACUCGACAAUAUGUAUAUCCAACAUUUUGUUUGUGACUUUUUUUAUUGGUAAUUAAUAAUAAUUUAGAUACUUUGCACAAUUGUACAUUAUAGUUAGCACUUUUGUUUACUGGGCUGCAACAAUGAGUUUUUAUCUGUCUGCCCAUGAAAUAUCAAUGUUAGACCAGCUCUAACUUAUGUUAUGCUGACAAUCUAGGUGGAAGCUCGAAAAGCUUGGUAAUUGUUAACGUCUCUCCAAAUGCUGCAAAUUUGACUGAGACACUAUCAUCCCUUAACUUUGCUGCCAGAGCCCGAAACUCUAUUCUCAGCCUGGGAAAUCGAGAUACGAUUAAGAAAUGGAGGGAUAUUGUAAGACAUCUUCAAAUAUUCUUUUGUUUUCUGAACUGACAAAGUGUUGCUUUUUAACAUUGCUUUAACCGUUUGUUAGUCAUCUUUGAAGAUGGGAGAGGUAGAGAAUGGGAAGGCCUGUAGUUAGAUUUUCAUCUGGUAACCCAACGGGGGAGGGGAGAAAGGGAAAAGGGAAAACCUUUCAUGAUACAAAGACAAGUUUGAUCACUCCAUGCCUAAACACAAGCAUGACCAUACCAUGAUCUAAUAGUUGUGGUUUGUACAAGAACUGGUAUCAGGAUCACGAUAAUCCAUAUUUAUACAGUUUCUUCUUCUGAUCAAUGUGCAUGCAGGCAAAUGAUGCACGUAAAGAAUUGUAUGAAAAAGAGACGGAGAUCAGCUACUUGAAGCAAGAUGUUUUGGGACUUAAACAAGCUCUAAAACAUGCAAAUGAUCAGUGCGUCCUUCUUUUUAAUGAAGUUCAGAAAGCUUGGAAAGUUUCUUUUACACUUCAAUCUGAUUUAAAGGUUCGUUCUCAUGCUUCCCCACAUUUCUCCAUUCUCUAUUUAAGACUUCUCAUUGCCAUUUAGCAAUAACUUUGGCUUAUUGUACAAAAUGAGCUAUUUAUAACUUUCUCCUUUUGGUGACUACUAUCUGUAAAAGUGAAAGCACAUAAAGGGACUGGUUGGAAGUUUGUGGUUUGUUUUGAUGCAAUCAAACUUAUUAGGAAGAGCUAAAUAACUUGGUAGGCGGAAAUUGCAUUUCCAUGGCAAGGUGUUUUUGGUUUUUUGUCCUUAGCAAAAGCUCGUGUAACUCAAACACCAAAAUACAACAUGAAAUCUUUUUCUUGCCAAAAGUCCUCAAUCCUGUACACACUCUCAGAAACCGUAUUUGGAAGAGUAUUCAACCUGUUGAGAAAUCAUAAAAAAUGUCAAAUGCUAAAAUGUGCAGUUUAUCUCUUCAAAUGUUAGCAUCAUUGCUGUUAGCAUGUCUUAUAGAGCUUCUCAUCAACCUGAUCUUUGAGGAACUCAAGUGUUUUUUACUUGUAUAGUUGGUGGAAUAUUUGGUUUUUGGAAAAUUUUGGCUCACAUAGAAGGCUUUUAUUCCUGCCAGUAGCAUAUUGCUAGAGCUUUUUAAAACAAUAUGGAGAUUUAGUUGUCAGAUGUCCAUAGCUCUCUUAUUUCAUAUUCCUUACUGAAGAUAAUCAUUUUCUUUUUCAAUAUCAUCACACAACUGAGAUGUACCAUUUCAUUAGGGAUUAAGCCUGCUUUGCAUCAAUACUGUGUCACUUUUAAAACUAAACCAAUUUCUUGCUAUUUGCCUCUUAAAGUGUACUUGCUUCCAAGUUGACCUGAUUCAUAAGAUUUCUUGUAUUUGGAUUAAUUGCUACACUUGAUUGUAGAACUCAUUCUAGGGAGAGACUUAUAUGUGGAAAGUGUGAUGGACUAAAUUUGAUAUUUUUGUACAGUUUUUUGGUUCAUUUUGAAUGAUUUGUCCCACUUGAUCUAAGUGGAUAUCGUAUGUGCUGGUGUUAUGCUGUCACUGAUCAGGAUUCAUGGUCAGUGCAACAAAGAUGCAGAGGAAUUAGUCCAAGUUAAUCUUUUCUUCUUUUUUUUCCAAAGAAUAGGACCCAAAAAAAACAGUGCCACCUAUAUUCAGUUUUUUGUCUUUUUUUUGGUAAGCUUCCUUUUUUUCCAUUGAUCAGCAAUAAAGAGUAUACCCAGAAGGGGGAGUACCCCAAUCAAUACAUCUAGUUCUUACCGGGAAUACAAUAACAAACCCAAACAUAUACAGUACCUACCUAGCUAACUGGAAAACAUUAAAGUGAAUCCCAAGUGCAGUACACAAGUCCACAUUUGGCUGUAUCCUUGCUACACGAUUCCAUCUGGCUGCUAUACCUCUAAUAUCAGCAAGCACCUCAUGAAACACAUGCUCAGUAAGAACAAGCACAUCCCUGAAUACCUUUUUAUUCCUCCACGUCAACAAAUGAUAGACUGUUGCUGCAAGUGCAGUAACACAAAACAAAAAGAGUUUGCUGAGCAAUGCUGCAUGAACUAUGCUAACUCUUCUCUCCAAUGAGCUGCAAUCCUAUAAAGCAAACAGCUUUUUUGAACACAUUCCCAUACUGCAUAAAUAUCGACAUAGAAAAAUAAAUGAUCUGUAUUUUCAGGAGCAGACCCACACAAAACACACCUAACAUCCACUUCAAUACCCCAAGAGAGAAGUCUAUCCUUUAUGUUUAUUCUUCUUUUACAUGUCAACCAUAGAAUAAAGGAGAGCCUAGGCACAUGCUUUUCCCCCACACCAAACUAAACCAAGGGACAGCAGGACCAAGAGGAUCAAGAGUUUUUUUUUCUUUUUUGGAAAUUUUUUUGCUCAUAUGGACGGCUAUUAUUCCUGUCAGUUGCAUAUCGCCAGAGCUUUUUAAACAAGAUGGAGAUUUACCACUCAUUUGGUCACUACUAAGGAAUGACAAUGACAAUCAUUAUGGAAGACACCCUCAAUUACAAUGGGUUUGUGAAGAUUCCUUUUGAUGGAAUCUUGUGUUUGGUGGCAAUGAUUUUUUGCAUAAGAAAAGGAAAUUAUUGUCCUUUUCUUUCUUUUUCUUCAUCUCCAGCCCAUUUGACCACCACCAUUUUUUUUCUCUGUUUUUGCUUCUUGCAUGCUGCUGACCGAUCUCCCAAUCUUUGUUGUUCAUUUUCCUGUUCUUGUUCCUUUUCUGUCUUCUUCUUUCCUUGUUUUUUGUGGUCCUCUUCAUCCCUUUGCCCUUGCCACCUCCGCCUCUCCGACCUCUCAUUGUCUUCAACACUGCUAGAUACAAUGAUCUCUGGUAUUACACAACAAUCCAACAAACUUUAAAUUCAAAAUUGUUACUAAAAAAUAAAAAAAUCUCAUCAGACCAAAACUUCUUCUGAGAGAGAAAAGGGGGAGAAAUUGUAUGGUAUAGAGAGGGAGAAAGAAGGCAGGAGAGAGAGAUUAGGAUGAAACAAAAGGGGGGAGGCAAGAUAGGAGAAGUUGGAGAUUAGAUGCUGCUGUUCGUCCUCUUCCUUCCCUAUUUUUUAGUUUGUUUUUGUUUUUAUCUUGAUUGUUAAUGGGAGUGAAAGUGCCCAAAUAAGUGGAUAAUGAGUAUUGGGUAAUGAAAGACCUAAAGUGGGUAAUGAAAAAACCCAUAGCGGUGUACCAAACACCAUCAAUGCCAAUCAUUACCCUCUCAUUCCCAUUGAAAGGUGCUAAACCCCCCAACCAAAUGGGUGGUUAGUCGUCAGAUGUCCAUGGCUGUCUUAUUUCAUAUUCCUUAUUGAAGAUAAUAACUUUCUUCUUCAAUGUCAUGUCACAAAUAAGAUGUACUGUUUAAGUAGGAAUUAGUCCUGCUUUGUGUCAAUACUUAUGCCACUUUUAAAACUUAGCGCCCUAAUUGCUGCUAUUUGCCUCUCGAAUUAUACUAGGUUCCAAGUUGACCCGAUUCAUAAGAUUUCUUGUAUUUGGAUAAAAUUGCUACACCUGAUUGUAUAACUCAUUCUGGGGAGACUUAGAUGUGAAAUAUGCAAUGGUAAAAUGACUAAGUUCAAGACUCUUGUUCAGUUUUUUGGUUCAUUUUGAAUGAUUUGUCUUGAUCAAAGUGGAUAUGAUAUAUGCUGGUGAUAUGUUGUUAUGAAUCAGGAUUUAUGGCCAGUGCAACAAAAUUGCAGAGGAAUCAGUCCAAGUUAAUACUUUCCUUUUUUCAAAGAAUAUGACAAACAGAAAAAUGCCACCUUUUACUCCCCAGGGGGGUGGGGGUUCUGGCAGGGAGCCUUACCUGUUCUUAACAAAUCGAAUGAGAAGUUACAAGGUGGGGACGAAGGGCCUAACCUCCUAAAAUAUGCUCCAAUUUUAACAUAGUAACAACCAUUGCCUUCGCCUAAUUGGUCCGUUGAACUCCUUUGGGAGCUGCAGAUAUCUUUAAAAACUACUGUUUGCUCAAAACUGUGAACCAGUUCUUCAAGAAAAUCAGCUGCUGUUCUAGCUUUCUGAAAUGUUUAUGCAACACGUCCUAAUUGAUCUUGCAAUAUAAAAGAAUGAUCUUGAUUCACUCAUGUUUAUCCUAAUAAAACAGGAAAGGUAGUCAUGUAAUCUGUUGCAUUAUGUUAACUCAUAUUCAUAUAGAGUUUACAUUUAUGGGCAUAGGAGAUUUGUAUCUGUUACAAUAAUUUAACAUCUGGUCGGAAACUGGUUAGGGUUGGCCAUGGGAGAUUUGUAUCUGUUACAAUAAUUUAACACCCGCUAGGAAAGUGGUUAAGGUUGGCCAUGGGAUGGUGCUCUUCUUCUUUUGUUCUAAAUACAAUGACUUCUUAGAAGUUUAUGAUUUCCUUUUCCAAUGUGAUGUUUUCAGCCUGUUAAUUCUGUUGAAAUGACCGAUAUGAGUUCAUUUAGUGGUGUGGGAAGUAUCUUUCUUAAUUAUGUACUUUUUAAGUUCCAUUAUGAACUAUUCUUACUAGCUUUUUUUUUUUUGUUCCAUGCCAAAAAAUUCUUUCACUGAACUGCUUCAUUUUUCCUAUUUCUUGCAGUCAGAGAAUAUUAUGCUUGCUGAUAAGCACAGAAUAGAGAAAGAGCAAAAUACCCAGCUUAGGAAUCAAGUUUCUCCUUAAAUUUGUUUCAAUAUGAACUUUGUGUGCGAACAUAGGGAAGUUAAAUACAAAAUGUAGUUCCAUGGCUAAAUACUUCUGAGCUGUGUGCUAGUCAAAAUGUCCAAAAUGGUCUAGCAUAUUGAAACUUUAUAUUGGCUAACAGAUAGCCAUCAAUGUAGGACCUGUCUGCUGCUCUAGCUCUUAGGAAAGAGAUGCCUCCAAAACGGGGAAAAGUGGAAGUAUGCUGAAUGUUGAGUGAUGGUGAAAAGAAAAAUACAGAAAUAGGUAAUAGUGAGAUGCAUGGUUAAUAGAAAGCUACAGAAGUCUAGGUUAAUACUGAGAUGCAAAAGAAUAAAUAUGAGAAAUUGAGUUUGAGUGUCAUAGAAUGUAUUCUGGAAGUUUGAAUUUUGUCUCCUUGUGCUGUUAUUGACACGAUUUAUUUAUUGCCUCUGGACAUUUGACACAAUUUGGUUUAUACUUAUUUCUUGUUUCGAAUGAGUGAUCCUCUUUCUUGUUGAAAUCACGUCACCUGCAUAUUGGUUAAAUUCUCUGGUUUUGCAGAGGUUGCAUGAAGAAAAUGAGAGACUUUUUGACAGAUUGACUGAAAAAUCGACUUCAGCUGGUUCACUGCAGGUACUGAUUCAUCUUGCAAUUUAAGUUGAAUUUUCCAUCCUUUAAUUUGUUAUUUUGGGGGUGGACUUCUAUGACUGAAUUUUUUUAGCUUGAAUUCCUGCUUCUUGAUACCGAGAUGGAUUUUUGUAGUCAUUGGCUGAUCAUCAAACUAGCUGUUAUUAAUUUAUGUUAGUUUUGAGCUUUAAAUGGGACAGCUAUUUUGAAUGGCUGAAUGCUGCCCCUUUCAGAAAUGGAAGUAAUCUUAGCUGCCUGACAUGCUAUAUCCUAUUCACUGAAAAAUAUUUGGACCUCUGGACAUCUAGUGUUUGCUACUCUUGACGCCAGAAAAUCUUACCUCACCUCAUUGUCCAUCUUUGUUAGGUUUCAAGCCCAUCCCCUGGAGGACAAGAGGUUACAUCUCGUGACAUGGCAAGGUACUUGUCUGAAACUGGUUUUCAGAGUUAUUAUGUAAUUGACUAAGCAUUUUUUGUAACUAAGCUUGUUGAUUCUUGUCAUUUUAAAAAUUUUAACUUUUCCUAAAUUUUCCUGCAGAAAUGAUAAUAAUAAUGUUAAAGGGCGAUCUGUAGCUGUUCCUUCACCUUUGGCCUCAGAUAAGACUGAAGGCACAGUUGCUUUGGUUAAAUCAGGUGUUGAGAAAGUAAAGACCACGCCAGCUGGUGAAUAUCUUACUUCUGCUUUGAACGAUUUUGAUCCUGAACAGUAUGACAGUCUAGCUGCAAUUUCAGAUGGCGCAAAUAAACUUUUGAUGCUGGUAAGAUACAAAUCAUUUUGCCAUGACUGCUGUCUGAAGUGGACUAUGGAGUUGGAGGAUCUUUUACAUUCAAGAUGAUUACUUAAUUGUCAUUGUUGUGAUUACUUUCUAUUGAUUCAAAACCAGUCAGGCAAUUGUAUUGUUCCGGCAGCUAUCUUUUGGGUGUUGUAAAAUGUGUUAUUAAUCCUAACAAAAAUGCUAAAACCUGGGCAAGCAUUUUUAGUAAAAAGAAGAAAGUAUUUGAUAUGCAGUGUUGUUGAUAUGUGACUAUAAUAAGUUUUAAAUCAAGUAUCUUACUAAAUACUCAACCAAUCAUUCCUGGGCCUAUUGGGUCUAAAUACAGAAGGAUGCCUCAGAGAAUGCAUUACUAUUAAGUUAUAAUAGGAGAGGAGGCAAAUCAUGAAUUUUGUUUAAAUUCUUUGGUUCUGCUGGCUUGGAAUGAGUUGUGUUAAGAGAAGCCUUGUUCGAGAUUGUUGGGACGAUGCAGAAAAAAUGGGAAGUUGCUGGAAGGGUGUCCUGUAUCUGGUCUCUUGCUGUGUUCAUCUUCAUACACUCUUGUCUGUCUCUGUAGCUUUUGUUGAAUGCUUAUGAAAGGAGUAUAACAUUGUUUUGCUUUGUGGUCAUGAAUACAAAUUAUUUUUCUAUGAGCAUGCCUGUGACUUGAAAGAUGUGUGUAUUCCCCUGCUUCGUUAGGUUUAGUGUUUAGACACUUCACUAUUUCUGUGUCUUUGCACAUCUGAGGCGCUUGAUGCUGGUCGUCAACAUUUAGUAGUGUGCCUUAGCUUUGGAUUGGCUAUGAUAAGCUAUCAAGUUAAAAGUUUUUAUCUGUUAGCUGAAUUGAGAAGUAUAAUAUUAACCAUGCAGAUGCUGAAGCUGAUAUUGUUGCGACUUUAUAUGCAUUCUUUGAGCGUGAAUUAGAACUGAGUGCAUUGAGAAGCUUUUUGAUGCAUUGAUUGCUCCUUGAUUCUCUUUUUGGAUAUCUUAUUGCAUGUUUUCCUUUCUGAACCCAAUCUUGAUGAUGCAACUCAGUUAUUGUAAUUAUUGUACUGUGGUUUAACUCUCCCAUGAUGUUGAAAACUUUCCUCGGGUUAGUUAUAAUUUGCUGAAUUGUUGUUUGUUUCCAGUAUUUUUCUUUAUCUGCGCUAAUGACUAUACGUUCAACAUUGCAGGUUUUGGCUGCUGUCAUUAAAGCUGGCGCUUCUAGGGAGCAUGAAAUACUGGCAGAAAUACGAGAUGCUGUUUUUGGUUUUAUUCGUAAAAUGGAGCCAAAAAGGGUGAUGGACACCAUGCUGGUUUCUCGGGUUAGAAUUCUGUAUAUCAGAUCUCUGCUUGCUAGGUCACCUGAGCUGCAGUCUAUCAAGGUAUUCAAGAAUUUUGCCUUCACCUUUCAGAAUUCUUACACAAAUGUGCUAGAAUCUGCAUUUUUUUUGAAGGUUUUUCCUGUCUAAUUGUACCAAACUGGUGUUAGGUUCCACCAGUUGAGCGAUUUCUGGAGAAAGCAAAUAGUGGAAGAAGCAGAAGUUCUAGUCGUGGUAGCAGCCCUGGAAGAUCUCCCGUCCGAUAUGAUUCUGGUUCGAGGAAUGCUCUUGUAGAGGAUCAAAUUCAAGGGUUUAAAGUAAAUAUUAAGCCAGAAAAGAAGUCAAAAUUGUCAUCAGUAGUUUUGAAGAUACGCGGUAUUGAUCAGGUGAAUACUAUCUGUUUUUUUUUUGGGUGUUUCUGCUUUUUACUUUGUUCUUAAUUAUGAUCAAUUUUGAUUCCAACUUUUAGUUUUCCUUGUCCAGAAGGGGUAGUAGGAUGUCGGGUUUGGCCUGUAAGUUAUACAGCAUAAUGGUGCCAUUAUGCAUAAAACCUAUGCCUGUGUUUGGGUAGGAGAUUAUUUUGAAAAAAUUAUUUGGAAUAACAGUGUAGCACUUUUUGUGAUGUGAUGUAUGUGAGGUAAAAAGGUGUUUGGAAAUUGUGUUUAUGAUGCAAGCUACAUAACACUUGAAUUAUUUUUUUUUUUGGCAAAUUAUGCUAGCCAAACGGAUGAUUGUGUUGGGUGAAUUGUGACCUUGCACGAUGGUGUCGGGUGAGCAACAGCCGCUUCGUUACAGUACUUACUUAUGGGCUAACAGGUCACACUUUGGCCAAGUAUCCUACAAAGAGACUCCCAAGAGCCAGAAGUAUUAAAGGAAUGGCCAUAGGAAUGGGCGCAUCAUGACAUCAUAAGAUGUCUCGCCUGAAUGAAUUAGUUGGUACUAGAAAUGUUAGAAAAAGUGAAUGAAAAGAGUAAUAAGAAGUAAAAGGGACAGAGACACUUCCCAACCAGAAAGCAAAGUUCCCACUGAUGGUAUACUUUUAUGUGAGGUAAAAAGGUGUUUGUAAAUUGUGUAUAUGAUGCAAGCUGCAUAACACUUGAAUGAUUAUUAUUUUUUUUUGGCAAAUUAUGCUAACCAAACGGAUCCAGUGUGAAUGCUUUGUUAACAUGAUGUAUACUUGGUUUAUGUUUCCACUAGAUCUGACAAUUUUAGUUGGUGUAAGUUCAAAUCAGAAUUCCAUCUGGCACUGUUAUACAUCCUCUUCUUUUGAUUUUGGUAAUGGUGCUUGGCAAUCUUGUCAACUCUGUCUUGCUUUUCUUUUCUAAUUGGAACUGUCAUUGCCAAUUAACCUGUUGGCUUGGUGAAAUGAUGCAUAAACACCUACAGAUACCAAUUGCACAUCCCUUGGGACAUGGUGUGUCGAUAUCUCUUCUCGUGGAAUAGGUGAUAUGCUUCCUGACCAUUGGUGGCCAAAUCUGCCAUCAAGUAGGACCCACAUGAUUAAUUUUGCCAUCAUUUAUUAUACUUUGUAGGCAUUAAAGGCCUCAUCAAAAGGUUAUACUGUCUUUGCUACUGUCCAUAAAUUGCUAAUAAAUAGAAAUUUGGUGCUGCAACUGAUAACAAGACAUCAUAGAGCUAACCUCUCUUACAAAGAUAAAUAUAAUCCUGAUUUCCAUCAAAUGGGGGCUCUAAAGGUUGUUCUCCCGGUGCACCUUUUACAUAGGCUAUGCAUUCUUUAUGCUAUUUAAUUGUUAUGUUUUUGCUUAUGAACACAUUUCAGAUUCAGCUAUUUGCUUAUGAUCCAUGGGCUUGAUUGACAUAAUUGUGCAGGAAACAUGGAGACAACAUGUAACUGGUGGAAAGCUGAGAGAAAUAACUGAAGAAGCCAAAAGUUUUGCUGUUGGAAAUAGGGCUCUUGCAGCGCUUUUUGUUCAUACUCCAGCUGGUGAGUUACAGCGUCAGAUCCGGAAUUGGCUAGCUGAAAACUUUGAUUUUCUCUCUGUGACUGAUGAUACGGUUGGAGGAGCAACUGGUCAGCUAGAGCUUCUUUCUACUGCAAUAAUGGAUGGUUGGAUGGCUGGACUUGGUGCUGCUCAACCUCCUAGUACUGAUGCUCUGGGGCAGCUCUUAUCUGAGUAUGCAAAACGAGUUUAUAAUUCUCAACUGCAGCAUUUGAAGGUGUGUAUUGAGCAAUUUUCUUUGUGUCAAGUCUAUUACCACUAGUUGCUUGCAUUCGAACUCAUGAGAGUUAUGGUUACUCUUAUGAUUCACCGCUAAUUUGUAUCAUCCCUGCACUUUCUUUUGGUUUUUGAGAGUUAUGAUUACUCUUAUGAUCCACUGCUAAUUUGUAUAAUCCCUGCACUUUCUUUUGGUUUUCCUCCCCAUUUCUGAAGUACUUUUCAGAAUCCCAAUGACAAAUUAAUGGACUAAAAGCGAUGACCUAACUGCAUGAGUAAUUUUCCAUUUCCAUUAGUUCUUCUCGCCAUAUAAGUUUGUGACUUGCAUGAGCAAAUGCUCUUUUCAAAGUUACCAGUUCUGUGCCAUGGACAAAGCUGGAUUAUGUUUUUACCACUAUUCUGCCUAUGGUAGCCAACCAAUCUCUUGGUCAGCUCAGCUGUGUCAGUUCCAUUCCUUGGCUUGUAAAAUUUUUCCAUCAUAGUCUAUGAUGAGAAAUUUCCUGUUUUCUCUUGUGGAUGCACCUUUUAAUGGGGUUGCUGCUGUUGAUUGGCAGCUAAGAGUGUUGUUGUUGUUUUUUUUUUUUUGUUAAUAAAUUCCAGUAGAGCAGAAUAAGACCAUGUUGCAUCUCUUCUAAAAUAUUCUUGGUACUUGCUUAUGUAACUUUGAUCCUUGCCAGGAUAUUGCUGGUACCUUGGCAACUGAAAUAGCAGAGGACUCUGCUCAAGUAGCUAAAUUGCGAUCAGCCCUAGAGUCCGUUGAUCACAAGAGAAGAAAGGUAGCAGAAAUUCAAGUUCUGUAAUAUAUAUAUAUAUAAAACCUUACUGAACUACUUAGCUAGUGUUCAGUGAUUAGAAGCAUUUGUUUAUCAAUAAAUUUUGAGAGUAAAAGUUGUACUUAUCCCAUUAAUUUUCGGCUAGAUCUAUACCAAUUUUGACUAUUUUAUGGCAAUUUCGAAGGUGAGUUAACAGAAGGUGGGUCUGUAUUUAAAAAUGACAAUUUCUGGGGAAAAUCUUAUAGAAAAUUAAAAAUUCUGAGGUUUUUUUUUCCUUAUUUUUUCUCCUAUUGCAAAUAAGUAGAUAAACUCUAAAGUCAAUUUCUAAAAUCUAUGGCACCUCUGCAGACUGCAGUUCAUUGUCAAGUUUAUACAAAUCUUAACUGGCUCGUAGUUGUAAAGGAUGCUAAUAAUCUUCCCAAUCACAAUUUUGGCUGAAUUUACAAGCUAUAUGUAAUUGUCCUGUGUUACAGUGCUUAAUUUUCAGUUCCUAAGAACCUAAUUGCUCAAAAGUGAUGUUUCUGAAACUUAUUUUUCUUGUUCAUAUCAUGGGUAGUAUAGUCAUUUCAUUAUUGUUUAUGGUAUCUUCAUUUCAUAUUCUUGUUUUUUCCCGCAUAUAAUCAGUUAGCCAUAGAUUUUAUCCUGCAGAUUGUUUACUGCACUAAAAGAGUUAGGCCCAUCUAAUGCAAUGUUUUGAAUUUGUAGGAUAUUGAGGUUUUACAGUCUCUGGUUCUGAUAUAAAUUGUGCUAGUAUAAUGUUAUUUCAUUUCCAAAUUACGUGAACAUUGUUGGAAAAGAGGGAAAUUUAAAUUGAAAAAUUGAUAGCUUUUAUGUCCCAAGCACCACCUGUUGAGGAAAUGUGGAAGUGUUAGGCCCAUUUCAGAGUGCAAUGUUUUGUUGAAGAGAAUAUAGAAAUUCAUGGUGCCCCAACUUAAUUCUCGCUGCCCGUGUCCGUCAAAUUACUUGUCAGCAUUUAGUCAUGCUAGGUUUGUCUUUCUAUUGUGUUCAUCUAUAACAUGGAGUAUUUGGAUGUUUCUUGAUGUACAAAAUCAACAUUGAAAUUAGAGGACAUUCCUGUUGACCAGAAGAUUAUCCAUCUUGCUUUCUGAUGGGUAGUUUCUACAUAUCAAGCUAUUGAUUGAAGAUUCUUUUUUACAUGAUCAUAUCAGCCUUUUGAUUUAUAAAUUUGGUUCCCAGAGAAACUUCCUUUGUCAUCUAAAAUCUAAGUGACUUGUUUCAUUUGCUAGAUUUUGCAACAAAUGAGAAGUGACAUAGCAUUGGUGACUCUAGGGGACAGUGGUUCACCCAUCAGGAAUCCUUCAACUGCAGCUGAGGAUGCACGACUAGCUUCUUUAGUUUCCCUUGAUGGCAUACUGAAGCAAGUGAAGGUUCUUAAAUUCUUUCUGCCUCUCUCUCUCUCUCUCACACACACACACACGUGUAACAGAUUCAGACAGGCAUGUGCCUCCAGUAUUUAGUGAUGAAAGGCGAGGUUGCAGUGAAUGAAUGAGGUUGCAAGACUAACAGGCUGUGUUUUCACAGGAUAUAAUGAGGCAGUCUUCAGCAGGAAAACUGAGUAAGAGUAAGAAGAGAUCGAUGCUUUCAUCUUUGGAUGAACUUGCAGAUCGAAUGCCUUCUCUACUUGAUAUUGAUCAUCCUUGUGCGCGAAAACACAUUACAGAGGCUCGUAAAGCUGUAGAGGUGCGGUAAAAUUAUAUCUUUCUAGUUACUUCUGGAAGCCCAGCCUUUGAAUUCUGUGGUUUGUAAAUCAUGCCGUGAGGGAACAUGUGAAUUUUUGAUGUGUAGCUUUAAGUAGUUUGGAAGAUGUCUUUGCGAGUAUUUCUGUUCAAAUUCAAACCUCAGUUGGUCUGCAGUUACUCAGCUACAAUAAUUACUUCUUGUCAACCUGAUUUUGAUGUUAGAUUAAAGUCUCUCUCAAACCCCCCAAACCUCUACCACACAAAAAAAAAAAAAAGAAAAAAGAAAAAAUCUGUCUGCUGCUUCCAUACAUGCAUGUGUAUGCAUGUUUUUCCGUUUUAUUUGGGACUGAAGAUUUCUUUUGGUUUGUUUUUCUUUUGAUGUUGAUAUUUGGUUAGAAAAACCGCUUGUUACAUUUGUGUGAGAGUGCCAAAUUAACUUGAUAGCACUCGUUUUCAAGUUUUGUUGGGAUUUCAUCCUUGAUCAGAAGUUGAAGUUUGGGGUAAAUGCUUUUUGUCAUGCGAUUUUUGUUUAUAUGUUUCUUUUGUUUCAUCGACAGUGUGUUGCUGAGGAGGAUGACCAGCUUCAUCAUGCGGCAAAUGCUUCAAAACUUUCAGCAGACAUGGGGUCUGCUGUUGAAACAGAUGUGGGACAGUGGAAUGUUUUGCAGUUCAACACAGGCUCAACAACCCCAUUCAUCAUAAAGUGUGGAGCUAACUCGAGUUCUGAAUUGGUGGUUAAAGCUGAUUCCCGGGUUCAAGAACCCAAGGGCAGCGAGAUAGUUAGAGUUGUUCCAAGACCAACUGUUUUAGAGAACAUGAGCUUGGAGGAAAUGAAAGAGUUAUUCGCUCAACUUCCCGAGUCUCUGAGCUUGCUUGCUCUUGCUAGGACAGCGGAUGGUACUCGAGCUCGGUAUUCUAGAUUGUACAGGACUUUAGCUAUGAAGGUUCCAGCUUUGAGGGACCUAGUAAACGAACUGGAGAAAGGGGGAGUGCUGAAGGAUGUAAAGUCCUGAUUAUCUUUGUGCUGCUGUCUUUCACUACUGUAAAAUGAUUCUGAAGUUUGAAUUUUGAGUGGUAUUUAUUGGAUGACGUCAUUUAAGCCGGUGUUUUUGGUCUAUGGUGUGCGGCUUAUUUGCAUUGAUGGUAAGUUGAUGGAUGUUAAGCCAAUUUUGUGAUUUACAUUAUUGUAAAUAAGUAUUUUAUCUGCUACAUUUUCAAGUUAUUUUCCUCAUUUUUUGGUUCCCUAUGUCGUGCGAAUCACUUAAUAGUUAGUUGAUAAUCCUGCCCGUGUUUGCCACUCCCUCUAACAAAAAUGUCUUCUACGUCUCCUGGAUCCAGACAAUAAUAUGUUUCCUUUAGCCUGCUGUCGAGGAAGCAGCAUAAGCAAGAACAUUUUUCAAGAAACAAAAUGAUAAUUCACAAGGUUAUGAACCAAUACUUCUAAUGACUAAUUUGAUUACCCCGCAGUUGAGCCUAAUCUGCCCGCCUUCCCCCGUGAGUGGGGCUGAGGCUGGCCAUCUUUACCAUAGCACACGCGAAAUCAUUCAAGAGCGUCAGAGCUUAUGGUAGUAAUGAAAAUAUGAAACUUUUGCAAACACUUAACAGUAGUAAUGAAAAAAAGGUCAGGAUGGAUUGUCGUAGUAGAAAAAAUAUUUUAAAAGGUGUGAUUUGGGUAACAUCUUGAAAUAAAUUUUGGUAAUAAAAAAAAAAAGAGAGAGAGUUAUUAUGGUGAAAAAUAUGCUUGGAGACUAUUAUCUUAAAUGAUUCUCAGUCAUCUCAUUGAUUUUGGGGACAAUACUAAGAAGGCACAAAAAUGCUUUGCUGAUCAAAGGCUUUGUUCUAAAUAACACAGGCUUAGGGGUUUCCUGCUCUUCAAGCAUAAGUAGUCCUUCCUCAUCUGAUGAUAUAAUUAAAUAGUUUCAAAAUUAUUAAAACCAAUAAACCGCAAAAUUCAUAAAUUUAAGAACAUUUAUAGACAUGAUCUUCCACAUUUUAAAGAUAUUUAAUCAAGUUAAGUACUUCUUGUCACACAGAUGGAAUUGAUUUUUAGUUCACGCAAUUACCUAAACAAACUCACAAAACCCUAAAAUCUAAUGGUCAACAGCUAUUUGAUUACAAACAUAAUGUUUAAGUAUUUCCGAAACUUAGCAAUUAAGUGAUUAAAAUUUUCGACUACAUGCCUAAUUAAAAAUGUUCUGUCCAAACAAAACAAGUACACUUUAUUUCCUAGACUAUUCAGCUUUUGGUACUUUACUAGGCAUAUGGCCACAAAAAUGUACGUCUCUUAACCCUAAUAAUAAGUUUUGUAAUUUAAUAAGUAGGUUAGUUUCACCGUUUAAGAAAAAUAAAAAAAAGUAGGCUAUUUUCAGACUUUAAGGUAUUCUAAGUUGAAGUAUUAAUUCAAAGGCUCUCUCUAAUUGUUAUUUUCUUUAUUGCAAAGAGUGCUAUGAACUAGAAUGGCAAUAUUCAGAUAGAAAUGAAUUUUGAUUUACAAAAUUAAAAGUGUAGAAGAUUUUUUUUUAAAAAAAAAAUUUGAUUAUAGACAUAUCACAGUUUACAAGAUUAAAAAAAAUGAAGAUUGACUUUAAAGGAAGAAAAUUAGUAACUUAGAAAUUGAUCUAGCCUUUUAAUUGGCAAGAAGCUUUAGUAAUUUGCUAAGGAGAAAAAAAUAUUAUUAAUAACUUUGCAAUGAAGUAGUAUUUUUCCUGUCUAUGAGCUAUUAUAUAGUUUCUAAGAAUAAAACAAUGUAUUUUUUAAACCUCAAUUAUCAACAAUUGCUAAUUUAACUCCAAGUUGCAAGUAGCCCAAGUUUCAAUGACAUAUCCACCAUUUUUUUUUGCCAAUAAUAGCUUAAAGUUCCUAUUUUUCUUUAAAAAAAUCCGAUAAGGGAAAUUCAUACAUAUUUACCUUUUUAAAAUUCUUUUCCUAAAUACAUUGCAGUGCCUUUUAAAAAAAAAAUUUCUUCUUUAUUGUUCUCGUUUUGAAUUAAAUUCCAUAAACCCCUUCCUUGAUCUUGUGCUCCUUGCUUCUGGGGUUUUACCUUGCCUAUACAUUCCUUCCCUUUAUUCCCACUCCGAUUCUUUGCGAAAAAUCUUGAAACAAGCUGGAUUAGAUUCUCUCUCGUCAAGUAAAAUGAUGGGCUCUUCUUCAUCUUCUUCUUCCUUAACAUGUAAAAGAUUAACAAUAUUGACAAUAUUAGCAGUUGUAAUGCAAAUUACUGGAUUAUUUCUCUUCGUUAUAGGCUUCUUCCCAGUAAAAACCACUCUCUCAGGGGCCAGGUAACCUUCCAGUUUUCCCGCUUGAUUCAUUUUAGUUCUGUUCUUCAUCCUGUAUCAAGGAUUGUCCCUUUUCAUUUUUAUUCUUGUUUGUUUACAUCUUUUCUUUUAACGAAAAUUUCAGUGGUUUGGAGAGUUUUUAUCCACCUGGGUUCGAUUCAAGUGAUGAUAGAAAUGCUAGUACAACUUUACCUCCUCGUCAGCUUAAAUCUCUAUAUCAGGUGACUACCACUGUUUACCCUGUUCUUUACUCUCUUUUUUUUUUCUUUUAAAUUUGGAUUUUCAAAUUUGUUGCAAUUGGGAUAUUUAGUAGCUUAAGACUGGUAAUGUGCUUCAUUGUUGGUUAGGAUGAUAAUUGUUGAAAGCUUUUUUGGGACCCUGGUGAAAAGAGAAACUAAUUGUUAUUAAGUCUAUUCAUCAUUUACAGCACACUGGAAUAUGGAAAAGAAAAUACUCACUUAAUUUUUGCUAUAUAUUUUCUUCUCAUUUUAGCUAUUAAAGUUUAUGUCUUCAUGCAAAGUGGGUUAUUUUUGUCUUCCUUUACAGCAACUAUCUGGUGUACCGCCUUUGUUUGACCGGCUAAUACUAAUGGUACGCUGCUCAAUUUGUGUAAAAAUUGCUUCUGCUGAAUUAGUUUCGUAAGGGAGAACCCUGUUUGUUGUGAUGUUUGUUCUAGGUCAUUGAUGGUCUGCCAGCUGAGUUUGUGCUUGGGAAGGAUGGCAAGCCUCCUCCUAAGGUUUAUAUGGAAGCUAUGCCAUAUACACAAUCAUUAUUGGCUAAGGGAAAGGCAAUUGGAUACCAUGCUAGGGCUGCUCCUCCUACCGUGACAAUGCCUCGCUUGAAGGUUUGUAAACUGGUUAUUUUGGUGAAAUUUGAAGCUGCUAUUUGUGUGGUCUGACUGUUCUUAGUCCUGCUUUUGUGUAUAGUAGGCCAUGGUUUCUGGUGCAAUUGGAGGAUAUCUGGAUGUUGCUCUCAAUUUCAACACACAAGCCUUUCUAGAUGAUAAUCUUAUUGGUCAGUGGUUAUCCUUGCUAAAGUGAACUCACUAAUUAUAUGAGUGUUUUAGCAACUUUUGCAAUUUUCGUCCAUCUCUUUUUCAGAACAAUUUUCUAGAAUUGGCUGGAAAAUGGUAAUGCUGGGUGAUGACACAUGGCUUAAGCUGUUUCCUGGGAUGUUCACAAGGCAUGACGGUGUUAGCAGUUUCUUUGUGAGCCUCUUUUGCUUUCACAAUUUAAAGCAUUUUACUUCAUUAUGUUUUAGUUUUUCUGCCUUUCUGGUAUCUGUAUUUUGAUUUACACAUGCACUUUUGGUUGACUGCCUUUAAUAUAGUACCUUUCUAGAAUGUUCAACUUGUAUUCACCAGAACAAUGAGGUGAAGAUUUUAUAGAUUUAACACUUUGUCUAAAUGCAUUUUAAUUACUGAACAUAUUGGAAAUUCUGUUUUGUGCUAUUCCUUGUAUCAGAGGAAUAACAAGUGAAGUGGCAAUGGAAUUACAUAUUUUGCAAGAGCUGUUCCACUAAAGUAGGAACUCUGCAAGAAAUACUUUUUGUUAAUGUGCAAUGCUGAGGGAAAGUUUUGUUUAUCUUGUUUUUUUAUGCAAUCAUAGCAGAUAUUACUGAGAAACAUAAACAUCCUUGUAACAAUUACUCUGAGAAAAUAUUCUAUAGGCUAAUAUCUGUCAUUUGUAAGCUUUUUUCUUGUGAAUAGAGUACUCUCUGUAUAAUGUCUCUGAUCUGUUGCUUGAUUCCUGUGUUGUUCAAACUUGUAAACAUUAUACUGCAUACAUUAAUUCAAACAAAACUAGAAAAAACAAAAAAUCAAGAAAAUUACUAGCUUCAGCUUUGGCUUCUAGUCAAAAACUACAAAGGCAUUGAGUGUGCAAAACUGUGAGCUAUUUCUUGCUAGUUUCUUACUUAGUUUCAGUUACGUGAACUUAGAAAAUAGUUGCUUUGCUUCAAAGGAAUGUGUGCAAAAUACACAUUGAGUGCUUCUGCCUCCUCAUAAGAGGCAUCUUUAUUUUCUUUGGUCUAUAGAUGGGAACUUUUCUACCCUCUGAGCUAGUUGGAUAAAAUCAUUUCCUAUUAGAAUAGAAAAAGUAAGUGAAGAAACAACUUAAUAUUUUGAAGCAGAUCUGCAUCUGAUAUUGAUACAAUAAAAUUCAGAAGUCAGAAAAACAGAGGGGAAAGAGAAGCUGAAAAUAGAUGCUUGUAAAACUUAAACGUAUAUAAUUUUUGUCUGCAGCAUGAAAUCAGAAAAUUAAUAGGGGAGCCAACAAGAUUUUGACACGCCUAGAAGACAGUAAACUUUUUUUUGCAUGGUUUGCAGUAACAAUCUUCUUCAAUAGGAAAACUCCAUUUUUUGGAAGCAGGGUGUAUGAUAGUUCCUUUAGCAUGCUCCUCUCUGAGCACUAUUUUAUUUGGUUCUGAUAUUCUUGAUGCAGGUUAAAGACACUGUGCAAGUGGAUCACAAUGUUUCUCGCCAUCUGAAUGUUGAGCUCAACAGGACAGACUGGAAUCUUCUGGUAUUUGCUUAAUAGUUCAUAUUUGGAUGUUUAUUACGGUACUAGCUAGAGUUUGUAUGCAUCCAUAGCCUAUAUGAUGAUUCAGUGUCUGUGAAUGUUUGCGGAAAGGUUGAGCCUUUACUUUCUGGCUGAAUGCCUACCUUGGUGAAGCAGUUUGGCUUUUACUCCUUUGUUCCCUGCCCCUUUUUCUUUACAAUUUUAUGAUUCUUAUUUAGGUCUAAACUAUGUGCUGGGAUCCCCUUUUCUUUACAAUUAGGUCUAAACUAUGUGCUUGGAUCCCCUUUUUUGGUGCUUACUAUGCAGAUUCUUCAUUUUCUUGGUUUGGAUCAUGUUGGACACAUUGGAGGUCGCAAUAGGUAGGUUUGUGCUUCUUUUGCUGUUAUUUCAGUGAAGAAGAUCUAGCCUUAUCCAUUGAUGUCAAUCACCUGAUGAUUUCAGUUUGUUGAUGGGACCAAAACUCAAGGAGAUGGAUGAAGUGAUUAAAAUGAUUGAUUUGACUACUCUAAAAAGUCAAAAAUACAAUCAAGGAAGGACACUUCUGGUUGGUGCUGCUUCAUUCUAAUGGUAGUGCUGGUAUCCUAUUGUUGUUACCGCGCUCAUUCCUCUGAUAGAGUUUCUUGGGAAGUGGGUUUCUAGUCUAAUUCCUGUUGCUUAGACAUUAUUUGACUUUUACUUUUAAUAUCUUAUUUUAAUUUGGAUAUACAUGGGCUGUUAUGCUUGCGAAUUAUAACAAUCCAGUGGACUCCUCUGUUUAAGAUUUACUUCAUUAACUUUUUAAGGUGUUUGAGUUUGUUUCUGGGAUGGAGUUAUUUGAUCUCAAUAAUCCUUGUAUUCAACUUUUAAGAGAUUGCCUUUAGGUUGACAGCAAUUUGACUGUGAGAAAUGACACUAUGUAUGAUAUCAAAUAAAGUAUUGAAAUUGUAAUUUUAUCCAAUGUUUUAAGAAUUGCAUGGUAAUAGUAGGUUUCUAAUGAGAUUGAGUGUUCAAUAAAAUGCCUAUUGUUGGAAUACCAAAUAUGUUUCAUAGCUGCAGUGAUGAUAGCUAUGAUUCUACUAACUUGUCUUGUAAUAGACUUGCAUUAUUAAGAAAAGUACUUGGGAAUAUGUUGUGAUUUAGUUUGUUUUUUGAUUUUUGUAAUUGCAGGUGGUUGUAAGUGAUCAUGGCAUGACAGAAAAUGGCAAUCAUGGGGGAUCAUCCUAUGAGGAAAUUGACUCUUUGGCACUCUUUAUUGGGCUGGGAGAAUUUACUAAUUCCUCAACAACCAAUAACAUAGCCAACCAGGUUGGGCUCUGAAUAUUUCUUGCAAUUGAUGUUUAUCCAGAUUUCCACUGUAUGGGCGUCAUUUAUCCCUUUUCAUAUUUGUCUUUUUUUCAAAUUCCUUUUACAGCUGCUUGGUUGAGCAACGAAUGGAUAUGUUUCACAAAAUAUUGCUACAUAAAGGGGCUUAGUUUUGGUUUUAUCGAUAUCUUCAUUCUGGCAUAUAUUCCAAGCAUGUUUCAAUAAACAAUCAGGGGCAACCCCUGAGAUGUUUUUUUGAAUCAUAAGGAGGACAGUUUAUCAUUUUUUAAAAUUUUAAUCAGAUAAGAAGUUUUUUUGUUUGUUGUGUUCUUCAUGGAUUUGUUGUUUCUUUAUGUGGAAUGAUUUGAUUGCGUAUAUUCUCUAUCUCUCUCUCUAAAUGAUACUUUUGGCAUCCAGAAAAUUGCAUUAUGGAUUUUGGUACAGCGUUCUAUGUUUUUUCUGCUUGCAUGCUCAAAAUAUGUUGAGAAGAUAGUUUAUAAAUGAUAUAGGCAUUUUAUGUUUUUCCUGAUUCCGUGCUCAAAAUAUGUUGAGAAAGCUUCUUGAAGUAGGCCAUUUGCAUUAUAAUGGAUAAUCAAUUAGUAUUGAUGUUCUUCUUUAUCAUGCCAAUCGAAGUUGUAAAUUUCUCUUGAACUGAAUAGGCUGCAUGCCUAGAUGUUUGCAUGUCUUGUUUUGGUGCUGUUUGCUAUCAUCAUCUAUCACAAGGGCCCCAAACAAGAUUUAGUUAUUCUCUCAGGGCAUUAGAUUAGGCUCUUUUGAAAAUGUUUGCCAUCUUGGGAAAGACAGUUCAUAUGGGUAGCAUUGGCUGCAACAUUUGACAACAUUAACUGCCUCCAAGGCUGAUUGACCUAGCAGUUUGAUACUGUUAUACUUUUGAAUUUUGAAGGCUGCCAUUGUAAUCAUCACAAUGCAUUUUAAUGUUUGGUUUAGUGCUAUCUUUGCUAUUGGAAUCUAGAUGACUGCUAUAGGAUGGGAGCUAAGAUAGUAGUCUAAAUGAAAGAACAUUAGGGAGUUUUUGGACAGCAAAUCUGUUAUUUUCCAAAUUAUAAUGAGUGAUUCUAUAUAUAUAUAUAUAUAUAUAUAUAAAAGUAAAUUUCAGUUCUUGAACAAAAUUACUUAUAUAAUUAUAUUUUGAGAAGAAAGUUUAGAGGAUCUAUUGGUUUAUUCCUUGGCUGUGCUUUCUUAUUUUCUUUCUUUUUCUCCAAUUUCGUUCAAUUGAAAAAUGUUUCUGCCAUCUACCUGGCAUUUCCAAGUUAUAAAGUACAUCAUUGAGCAAUGUAAAUGGUGAGCGCCAAAUGAAGCACCAUUUUCUGUCUCAGUUUUUCAAACAAAUGUUGUAACACAAAAAGGAAUGAUGAUCCAUAUUGGUGAAACGACAUAACAAGAGAUAGAGUUGCAUGGUGGCCUAUGUCUUGCUUGCAAUCAAAGACAGCAAACAUAUGUAGCUGUCACAUGAUAAAUAUAAUUCAGUUUAGAAGUGUAUAUCUUCCUCAUCUGGGACAAGGAUGAUUGUGGAUUGACUGUAAUCCUACAAGGGAAUAGCAACUGAAGAGACAACAAUUUGUCAGAUUUGUGAACAUAUGCCUGUAUUCUGUCAGAGCAUCCUUUUGGCUAUAUUUGUAUUUUAUAUAAUUUCAGUGGGUAGUGAAGUAUGUGCGUGUGUAUGUCUUAUUAUUGUUUCUGUGGUCCCUCAAUCUUUGUUUUGUUUUCUUGUAAGACAGGUUGACAUUGCUCCAACAUUAGCUCUACUUUAUGGAGUCCCAAUACCAAAGAACAAUGUUGGCAUCGUUAUGGUGGAAGUUUUCAAGUUAUUGACAGGUUUAACCAUGUCAAAUUUUUCUUCCAUUUCUGUUGGAAAGCUACUGGAUCAGAUGUUUGCUUUUAAAGUCUAAUAAUGACAUUGGAUUGAAAGAUCAACAGGUUUCUGUUUGAAGAAGUGCCUGCAAUUUAACUGUUCUAUAAACAUCUAAUUAACUCAAGUAGCACAAAAUGUACAAAUGGUUAACAUAGCCGUUCAGAGUGCUAUGGUAGAAAUAAUCUAUGCCAAAUACACCAAAUGAAAUUAGUCAAUGGGAUUUUUGCCUCUUAUGUUGGAAAGUACUUACUGUUUGCUAAAAGCAUGUAGAGUAAAGCCUUGUCAAGUUACAUUAACAUAUGUUUUACAAUCUGGAAAACUGCAAAUUCUACAAGAAGCACGUGGGAUUUUGUAAAUUCUGCAAAUUUUACAGCCUUGUCAGUGGGAUUUUUGCCUCUUAUGUUGGAAAGUACUUACUGUUUGCUAAAAGCAUGUAGAGUACAGCCUUGUCAAGUUACAUUAACGUAUGUUUUAUAAUCUGGAAAGCUGCAAAUUCUACAAGAAGCACGUGGGUUGGUGCAUGCAGUGCUGUGUGUCAGUGUGAAAAUCUUUACAUUGUUUUGGUUUAUUCUUAUUCGAGUAGGAUGCCAAUUUUCUGAACUUCUAUCGGUUGCCUGGCCUAGGUACUUCUUUACAUUGUAUGAAUUUCCUGGACUGACUAGGAUAAGUAGAGUGGUGAUGAUUUGAGAAGUUUCAUUUCCUCGUCUCAAUAGACAGCAUAUGCAAAUGGAUUUACAUGCUUUGAAAGUUCAAGCUAAUCUUUUUCUUGUUCUGGGUGUGCUGUAUUUCAUUUGGUAACAUGGUUCUGUAAUAUUGCAGAUGAUGAACGGCUGAGGCUAAUGGAGUUAAAUGCCUGGCAGUUGCUCCAAUUACUUCAGGCUCAAUUGCCUGGUUUAGAGUGUGAAAUUUCCAAAUGCAAUGUCCAUAGAGAUGGUAAUGGAUCUGAGAUCAGACAAGACUAUAGCACUGUAGAGGAGAUGUUUUGUUGUCUAUAUUUACAUGCGGCAACUGUCCACAAAUCCAUGAGAUCUGAGUAAGCCUUUAGGUGAUGGAUUUUCACAUCUCUGUAAAAUGCUGAACUACUGCUUAAUUACAUAAUUCUUUUUUCCAGUUCACCUGGGGGAGAUGAAUACGGUAGUACCUUUUUGGCUUACCGUGAAUUUCUGAAAACAGCAGGCCAAUGGCUAUCUCGCAGAGCAACUGACGUAAGUCUAGGAAUAAAUACUAUUGUUCCAUAGGAUGGUUUACCUGUUGACUUGAGUUGAUGUUCUAGGUGAAAGUUGAAUAGUCAUAGCCAUUAUGCUCCAACAAACAUUUUGGUUGUAAUUAGGAUUGUAGGUAUACCAAUCAGUGCAGCCAAAUGGGUGCGGAGAGAGAGAGAGAGAGAGCAAUAGUAAAUUGCUGAACGUUCAGUUCUCUCCUUCACUUCUUCAAUGAUUUUUAGGACUAACAUGUUGUCUUUCAUCCUUACAGAGACCUCUCAGUCUACUUGCUUGUGGAUUUGCAGCCAUGCUCGUGUCUUGUUCAAUAAUAAUGGGCCUUCUUUUCUUCCUUAUCCGUGAAACCUAUAUCAAGGAAAGGGAGCUUCAUUCUCACGCGUGGCAGUUGGAUAAGACUUUUACACUGGCUAUAAUUUGUAUCCUUAUGCUAAGUAUGGGAUCUAGUUCGAUGGUAGAAGAAGAACAAUAUAUAUGGCAUUUUCUGACAUCUUCAAUUUUUUUGGUGUUACUCCGAAAAACUCUGCAGUCCAUCACAUUAGGAUUUGGGGUACUGCAAAACUCUUCAACUGUAAUUAAGGAACAAAGGGAAAGAGGUCUUCUUCAAAUUUUUUCUGUUAUUGUAGUUCUUGUUUCUGGAAGAAUUUUAAGAGGCUGGCAUCAAGGUGGUGUCAAUUGGGCUCAUCUUCCUGAUAUGGCAAAAUGGCUUGAGCAGGCAGGAAGCGGUUAUACAAAUGCGCUGCAGCUGACAUCUGGUGUCUUACUUAUCAGUGCAAAUAUUUUUACUCUUCUUUUUUCGUUACGAUCAAAGAGAACUUUUGCUGUGGUGAUACUUAUGAUCAAUUUGUGCCCAUCUUUGAUGAUUGUGUACCUUAUGAUUAUACAUCAAGGUAGCACAUUAGGGACAACUGGUUUUGGUGCCACCAAAAUGGUUCAAAGAUUCUAUGCAAUUUUGGGCAUUUCUACACUUGGGACUGUUGUUUCUGUACCAAUGUUUAUGCUUUUACAGAAUUCUAAUAGCCCAGUAAAUGAUUUCACCUUAUGCCGUGAUAUCUCUUCUGAAUUUAGAAGGAAUCUCUUGCUUCAAGGGAUGAAAGAUUCUACCUUUAUAACUGGCUGGAGUUUCAUAUUCAGCUGGUGUCUUCUGCAGCUGUUGCUGCAACAACCUGUGAAUUCAAUGCCUUUAUUGUUACUAUUCAUUCAAAUCCUUGCUACCAUGUGGUAUUCUUCUGAUGGUGAUGCCCAGUUUAUUGAGGUGAGUCAUGAUGCCAAAGUUUCUGCCCAAUUUUCUUACUUCUACCCACCCCCUAUCAACAAUCAUGAAAGUAGUAAAAGAGUUGGCAUGAGUUUAAAGUUAAUUGUCUUGAAAAGUAUGAACCUGCAACAAUGCAGCUAAGGAAUUUUGGUUUGUUUUCUGUAGUUUGUUGAAAUAACAUCACCGUGUAUUUCUAUACAUUUAGCUGAAGCACUGCUUAACGGUUCCUUGUUGAUAUUAAAUGAAACUGAUGUUAGAUGUGCAAUUAAUUGAAUAUUUUUUGAACAUUCAGGUGGCUGCACUAUACUAUUUGGGAAUGGCGGGCCAUUUUGGUCUUGGUAACACCAACAAUCUCGCUACAAUUGAUGUUGCUGGUGCUUUUACUGUACUUCUUCUCCCCUGAAAAGCUUUUUGAUUUCAUGCUGAUGCCUAAAGUUAUUCUAUUAGUCUCUGAGGUUUUUUAACUUUUUUUUUUUGGCUACAUCUUCAGUGACAUUGAUUUCAAUAUUGACAGGGUGUCUCAAGCCAGUCCACCUUACUUUCUGGCAUCUUAAUGUUCAUGAUCACAUAUGCUUCCCCGAUAUUUGCUCUUCUUAGCAUGGUGCUAUAUAUAUCUGUGAAGGACAUAGGUGGUGACAUAGAAGCCAAGGAAGUAGAUAUUGGAGAUCUGCUAAAGAGGAAUCUCAGCUUUCCUUGUCUAGUUCCGCUGGGUAUAAAUUCCAUGUUGCUGAUUGCAUACACCGUCGUCUUGCUACUAAUGAGAAAUCAUCUCUUCAUUUGGAGCGUCUUUUCUCCAAAGUAAGUCAUACUGAGCCAAUAAUGCCUAUGCAGUAUACCUAGACCACGUUCCCCACCCUAACUGUAGAUUGAGCUCUGGCAGUUGGAAAGAAUUUUGCUGUGUCCCAAGAAACAAAUGAUCUUGUUAUGCUUCAGAUUUCUUUACUGUUUAUAAAAAAGAAUGAAUGGCAUCUGACAACAUGCAUCUGCACAGAAGGAAAGAAGCUCAAUUUUGUUCUAAAGCUCAAUGUCGUUCUAAUCAUAGGCGGAUUAACCAGAUGGAUAGUUGCCCAAAAAAAUCAGAAUCAUGAUUUUCCAGUUCCCUAACAUCCCUUUCUUUGUGCAAAAUAAAUGUCUUCAUCAAUUCAAUCCCAGAUUCUCUUCCAGAAUCUGAACGCCACACAGUUCUUCCACAGAAAUUCUAAGGGUCUUGUGCCACUUGCUGGAGUCCAUUGCUUUCAAUAAGCACAAAUUGUAAUUUCGAAGCAUUCACCGCACUAAUCAAAUUGAUAGCAUCUAAUGGGUCCACAUGCACAGAGAAAAAGGGCAAAAGGCUAGCUCAUCUAAAAUAUUUCCAAGUGGACUUCUUGAUUAGUCAUGGAAUGAUAGAAUUCUUGUUCGCAUGCCUUUUUCCCCCGUUUUGGGUGAAAGUCGUCAUUUCUUUAGCGAGCUUAUCCUCUGAGCUUAAUUUCUCCAACUGUUUUAGCUAGCUAAGGUCUUAAUGUAUUCCAUUAAUAAUCUCUUGGUUCCUGAGAUAUCAUAAACUUAACGAGUACAUCAAAGCAGGAUACGAUAACUGAAAAAUUGCGAUCUUAGAAUGCUCUAGAUUUGAUAGAUGGAAAGAGAGUUUGUAAAUUAGUUAUGGUCCACUACUCUACAUUUCAUUAUCUUGCAUGCUGUUGUAAUUGAAUGACUCAUCUUGCUUCUCCAGGUACCUGUAUGUCUGCGCCACUACCAUCUGUAUCUUUCUGGGUGUAUCUAUUGUGGCCUCAGCAGUGGUAUAUUCUUUUGGGGUUCUUGCCUUGCGAAGAAGUUGAAGACACAUGCUGAUUUUGACUUGAAAGAGAGUGUGUUCGGGCAGUAAAUCUAACUUAGGAUGUUCGCCAACAGAUUUUAUCAGAUGGUUAAGAUUUCUUGCUUACUGCUCUCGUGCUAUGAGCAAAUAGAGCAGUGCAUCUAGAAUGCAAUUCUUCAUUUCAUUUGAAAGAUUGAUCAAAUGGCAGUUUUGUAAACAUUAUUUGAUUCUGUAGUCUAGUAAAUUCUGAACAUCAGUGAUUGUAGUAAAUUCGGUGAUUUUUCCUGUGGAGAAAAUAUGAUUACACAAUAAUGGUAUUUUCUCAUUGACACCCUCACCCUUAUGACAGGGACCCAAAAUGGUUCUACCAUGCAGUUUACCUAAAACUGCAAGUCCUAUUGUUGCUCAUUCAGUCUGAGAAUUGAUGAACUAAGCCAAAUGCUGAUUACUGUGGAUUAGUCUGUAAUUUACAUAUUAGACAGACUCGUGCAAUUGUCAAAGCAAAAAAGUCUUGGUCCUAAAGACCCUUCUUGCUAGUUGCCUGUAUCCAGCAGCCACGGCUAAACUCUCAAGACUGAACCGAAAGACCCAAUAAAAUCAGACAUUUAUUGGGCUAUGGCAGCAGAACUCAAUUUGUGUACAAACAAAAGCAGAAAAACCUACGAAUGAGUUAAAAUAAGGUUUUGGUUUUAAAUGAUGUUUUGGUUUUAAGCCAAGGUUUUGAUACUUGUCACUUCUCUUUUGUCAAUAGGUAGGACAAUCGUGUGUCUCAUAAGCUGGCAAAAUUUGCCACAAGCUUGCAUGACGAAAUCAGUUGGAAGGAUUCCUUUCCAAUUUGGCUUACUAGUUUAGCCAAAAAUGAUGUAAGAGCUGUUGCUCCAACUCUGUAAUUUCUACUCUCUCUUGACCUUUUCUAACCGAAGUUAGAGUUACGACUUUUACAAACCUAAAUCCCAGAAGAACCUCCAAAAGCCGGCAACUUUUGGAGGCCUCCCAGGAGACUUAUAACUACCCAACCCAAUCCCCCCAGAACCGAUGUGGGAUGGCAACCCCACAAGGGCAAGUCAGUAGGCCGGCCGCUGCUAAGAGAUGAAGACCCCCCACCAAACCCAGUAUGCUACCCUUGCAGGAAUUUAUCUCUUGACCUUUUCUAUCCGGUUAUAAAAUUUGUUAUCGUUUGGAAAAAAAAAAAGGUUAAAAUAAGGUUGGAGGGUCCCUUUCUUGUAUACUGACUAGUAUCCUCCUGUUCCUAAUCCCACGAGAGAAAUAGGUAGCCAAGAACAGCUGUACCCGACAGAGUGGUUUCAGAAUAUGCCUCCAGCUACUAUUUCUUCCACUGUUAUUCGUCCAUCACCCUGAAUAUGCUGUACAAGCCUGAAUAUUCGUACACAAGUUGCUCACGUCCAAAUUCCUGCUACAUUUUAUGUACGAGGAAAUAUGCAGGAGAAGGGGCAGAAAUAAUUGUCACGAUCGAUAAUAAUCCCAUGCAGUCAAAUAAUUCUAGUGAUCAGCAACUCUAGUAGAAGUUAACAUGAUGAAGGCUUAAUUGCUCUAUAUUGAUAAUUUCAAUUUGUUAUUCCCAAUUUUGUUAUUGGGAAUGAUGAAAGAUUCAGCCUCCAGAACGGAUUCACUGUCAUAUGACUGAUCCGCGAUUAUUAGCUUCAUGUAGGCGAUAACCAUCUCGAGAAAAUUACUUCACUGUUGUGGAGCGGAAAACUAUGUUCGUAUUCCACGUCUUCUUGGCAAAGUAGAAGGGGAUAUUGGUUUUCAACCCGUAAAUAAUCACUAAGAAUAGAUAAGCACCUAAAACUGCUCCAUGGAUAAACUUUUUCUGGUAAGGAAUCAGAGUUACGGUCCCUGUUUGCACACAUUACUCAGCUGUUACAAUCUCUAGCUCGACAUAUUUUUCAUGGCCGCCACCGCUAUUUCUACUGCUGAAGUUGUUGCCUCUGCCCAAUUCCAAAACUUCGAUGUUUUAGUGUUUUACCCACCAUUAAUCCUCAACUUACCACUCAAAAGUUACCAUGGCCAAGCCACCCUCAUGAUGGCCUUCACUUGUGGCAAUUCAUGGUUUCCGGCUCCGCCCAUGGCGUGUUAGAACACAUGGCCAUGUUCCCCGCAGACACUGUUAAGACCAGAAUGCAAGCUAUCGGCUCUUGCCCCAUGAGAUACGCUAGUAUUAGUCAGGCUGUUCAGUCAAUUAUCAAAUAUGAAGCCCCAGCCGGACUUUGCCGUGGGAUUGCAGCUAUGAGCCUCAGUGCCGGCCCGCCAAGCUGUUUAUUUUGCCGUUUAUGAAACUUGCAAGAAAGCUUUGUCCCAUGGGAAAAGAAUAAUCCCCUAGCACACACGGCCUUGGGUUGAGGGAGGAGGAAAGGAGGAAAGGGAAGAGGGAAGGGGCAGAGGAAGUGGGUGGUGGUGUUAGGUGGAAGGAGAAAAUGUGGUAGAUUUUUUUUUUUUUUUUGUAUAUAUUUGUGAGUAUUUUUGAGAUAUUGUAUUGAUUGUGUUUUUGGAGUUAUUUUUUGUUUGUCUAUUACUGUAACAUUGCAUUUAAAAAACUAGUUUAUAAAAAACAGGGGAAUCCAAACAAGGCGAAGAUUAUUUUGUAUUCGUAUUGUGACACAGGAAAGGCCACAAAAGUUGUAUUACUAGUAACUCUUGAUGCAAUAUCGUAUUGCUCCUCCCUGAGCCGCCUGGUUUCUUUUCUCGUUCUACGCGCGGUCUUCUCUACUUCAGGGUCGAAAAUUAAUUCGCAUGUACGAGAAGAGCGAGGCAUAAACUAGAAAAAUACCAGAAAAAAAAAUGAACUUAAAAAGAAACAAAUGAUUAACGCCAGUCCCCGGCAACGGCGCCAAAAAUUGACAGGUGUCGAGCCUGUGCAAUAAUAAAUACCUACUCGAGAAAAAUGAAUUUUUUGUGUAUAGUAGUGAGUAGGGUCGAAUCCACAGGGACUGGGAAAAAUUCGAUUCUUUUCAAGUUCGGGACACGGGGGAUUUUUAUCAGAAAUAAACUAAAAAUAAUUAAAUAAUUUAACCAAAAAUAAAUAAUUAAUUAAUACAAUUGUAAAUAGCAAUUAAAUAAAUGAUAAAUAAAUUCUAGCCAAGGAUACAACUACGCAGACACAGUCCAUUCAUCCGAUCAUUGAUGCAAAGAAGGUUCACUUAAUUUUAUUAACAGGUUAGUUAUAGUCGCCGAUAAACUCUAACGACCAGCUUUUCCUUAAUUUAUUGAUAACCAAGGUACGACCGUUGAUUACCCCUAACCAGGAAAUACUCCUAGGUACGACCGUAGGAAUUAAUUUCCUAAUUGCAUUAAAAACUAGAAAAGCCUAACCCAAAUUAAUAACACGCUACGAGGGUUAUUUAAAUCAGAUUGCAUGUCCCCCUAGUAUGUGAAAAUACUAGUUGUCACUAAUAUUAAUCAACUAAACAAUUACGGAUUUAAUUGAUUAAUUUGACAAGAGAUUAAUAAGUCAAAUUGCACAUCGGGCCCUUGAUAUCCAAUUAACAAAAUAAUCCCAUGGAAAUUAAAAUAGAAAACAUGCAAAUAUUAAUAAAUUAAGGAACACGUAAAAUUAAUUAGAUCUCACAGAUAUUUGGGACUGCGUCUUCGCGUUGAUCCUUGACUAGAGGAGAAAAUUAGCCACGCCUCAUAAGAAAAUUCCCACGCAAUUUAAAUGGAAUCAAAUACAUAAAUAACUAACUAAGAAUUUAGGAAGAAACUUGAGUCUCGCUAAACUCUUUUAAGAAAAGUUGCACACCACACAACAAGAGAAGGAAGAACUCCUCCUCUGAAAACCAAAAACUACCUCUAUCCUCCUACGGAGCUUCUCUGGAGAGAAAACUCCAAAACUAGUCUAAUGUCUUAUGAAAAACUAUCGUCUAAUGCCUUUCCCUUAUUUUAUUUUAGCACUAGUUUCCUAAGAGAACUAGUGACGUAGGAAGCUAAGUGGAAAAGCUCAAUCAUCAAAGCCAACACCUUGACUAAUGAGUAUAUCUCCCACAAUAAGAACAAACUUUCUACGUGGUCCCCGCUUUGAUUCCUUAUUGCUAGUGGAUUUCAUCAUAUCAAUUCAAUUCUUCAUCAGCAAUUCCGUUCAUCAGCAAUUCCGUUGGUUUGCACAAUUUGGGCUAAUGGUGGAAAGCUUUUAGAAGCUUUCACGUGUGGAGAAAUCUUCUCAAGAAGGUCCCCUUUUAGCACUUUUCUGUUUCACUUUCUGAAAUUAUAUCCAAAUACCAAAUAUAAAUAUAUAUUGACAAUUAAAACAAUAUUUGGCAAGGAUAAAGAGGAAAAUUAACGAUAAAAUUACUAACAAUUAAUACCCUAUCAAUUCCCCCCACACUUAAAUCAUGCUUGUCCUCAAGUAUGGGAACACUAAACUCAACAAUGGCUAACUCUCAUUUCAUUUACUGCCAAGCUACGCUUAUCCCAAAAUCAAGUUUUAGUGGCUAAGUGUCAAGAUAUAUUUCUCCCGGUUAGCUCCUGAAAUCAUAGACUCGUCCAAUUCAUAGCUAACUCGUCUAAGAAAUCAAAAUAUUAAACUAGCAAAAGUUAGCAAUUGGGUCAACUGAAAAUCAAAAUCUCAACAUUGAAGAACAAGGAUCGGCAGGCCAACAUGAUCAUAAGCUUACUUAUUAUUUUCUUCUCUCUCUUUUUUUUUAUGAUAAUAAUUAAUUUUUUUUUUUCAAUAAAUGCUCAGUCCCAAGCUAUUCAAGUCUUUUGACGUGAACUCUGACAUUUUUAGAUGAAAGAAACCAGUUACUCAACUUUUCACAGUUUCAGGACUACCUACUCAUAGAUAUCGCCACUUUUUGACGCGAAAGUCGACACUUGUGGUGAAGACUCCCGGUUACUGGGUGACGGCACUAGCGGAGUAGAGUCAUUUAUUAAUCACAAUUAAAGCACUAGAAAACCAAAUAUUUAAAGAUCAUGGCCCACGUCAUCUCCUAAUAUGGAGAACUAAGAUCAACAAUUGCCCAAUCCACACAACAAUUGCUAGUAAAAUAUUUAUAUUGCCUAAACAAUUUAACCACAAUUUGCACCAAGUCAUUAAACUCAUGAUAUUCACCAAGGUAAUAUGCUUUUACUUGCCAUCUAAACAAAAUUCAUAGGAUAAAUCACAACCAGCAAUAGAAGAGUGAGUUGCCACAUUUAUUCAUCAAGACAACAAUAAGAAAAGCAACAAUUUAAAGAAACUCCAAUCAAAUCCAAAUCUCCCCCCACACUUAAAGUAUACAUUGCCCUCAAUGUAACAAAUAUAUAGAAAAAGUAAGAAAAAGGGCAACGAAACUCCCCUGAAAUCGUCAAGACAUCAAAUUCUCUGAUCAGCCCUUGGGGUUGAAGGAGGUGGAGCGGAGGUCGAAGGGCCGGGGUGUUCUAGACUUAGAAGAAGAUUUGGGUUUCACCAUUUCUCCAAAUGUCACUCAAAUCAACAACAGACAACAAUUCUAACAAAUAAUGGAAACAGAAAAUUUAAAGCAAUAACAAAUGAAAACCAACCCAGUGAAUAAAAUGCACACUUCAAUCACCCACAAGUUAUAGAAAUACUCCAACACUUAUAGUAAAUGCAAUCAAUAAGCACUUGUGGUUCCAAACUUAGCCAAAUGCAAAAACAAUGCACCUCAAAAUCACCCCAAUCAACGUAAUAAUUGAAAUGAAAAAGACAAAAGACUCUCACACAAGGCAACUACUUCAAUAAGCAAAUUUAAGUGUUAAAGGCACCUCCCAAUUAAACAAAUAAUCUCAGCAAUUUACCCACAAUUAGACACAAGUUAUAAUAAAUUAGACACUAUUGGACCCAAAAUCAUAACAAGUGUCUCCAAUUGGACAGUCAAUCACUUAAGAUUAAGAAAUUGGAGGCAAACUAUCACAACCAAUACCACUGGUGGACUCACAGGGAAAAAUUAAAUCAAACGGCCAACCAAAGCACUGAUAAAUCCAACAACACCAAGCAAAGCAGAAAUAAAAUUAAAAAAAAUUCAAAAUGGUAACUAAUUUGCCAAGAACCUAAAUUGCAGUUGAAGCCCCAAACAACUCACUAAGUGAAAAAUCCAGCACCUCCUGCGAUUAUUCAGCAAGAAACCCAGGAAAAAGAAACAAACUUCAGCAUUUUAAGAUCUAGAAAAUUGCUAAUCGGGGAGGGGGGAUUCAAUAGCUCCACCUGUCGAAAAUUGACAAGUGGCGUGAGGUGAUCUGGAAUUGAAGUCGCGUGUGAGGGAAGCGACGGUGCACCGGCGAGGUGGAGAGGAGCGACUGGAGUUGGUGGUAAGCUGAGGUCGAGCUUGCGAUAGUGAGCUGGGCAGGAGGUAUUGGCGCGGCCAAGGAAAGUUCGCGCGCGGUGGUGGUGUUUGCCGCUGAACUCUGCGACCUUAGAUGAGUUGCGGACAGCUGCUGUGGCUGUUGGUGGAGACUGAAGGAAAAGCUGCACGCUGGGUAGCGCACGGAGAAAGAGCUGACGCAGUGGAAAGGGAGAUCGAGAUGGAGAGAGAGAGCUGAGCUGGAGAGUGGAGCUAGUUGCGUUGCAAGUAGUGACGGCGGCAGUUGGUGGUGUUUGGCGAGAGAGAGUGAGAGAGCAAAUGGAGGUGGUGGCGGCUGGCAUUGCUUGGGCUGCAGGAGGUCGACGCGAGCUGGUGGAGAUGAGGCACUGGCGGCUGCAUGCAGAGGUGGACGCUGGGUUGUGGUGGGCUUCAGGCGGAAGUCGGCGGCAACUAUGGACAGGGAGGAGGAGCUGCGCACAGCUCUGGGUUGCGCGCGGCUGGCGGAGCUUACAAUGAAGAAGAAGAAGCGAGCAGCGGGGAAGAAGAAGAAAGAAAGAAAGGAAAGAAAGAAAAGAAAAAGAAGGAAAGAAAAAGAAGAAAAGAGAAAAAAAAAUAUAGUUUUUGGUCUUACAUUUUUUUUUUUAAAAAAAAUUCAGAAAUUGAAUUGCUGAAAAACUAACCGAAUGUUAAGAAAGGAAGUAAUUUUUUUUCGAUUUUUUUGAUUUUUUUUUUAUUGCAAAAAUUUGAAAUUUUUUUUUUUUUUUGUUUUAGUUCGUCAAACAUGGCGUGGGCACGCCAAGAUUAGAAAACAUUCUCUGACUUGAGAAUCAGUUUUUGAACAUUAACGCGUGCCCUCUCCGCGCGGGCACGCCAAGAUUCCACUUCGUAAUGUUGAGAUUUUACCAACAUGGCGUGGGCAUGCCAUGUUUUAGAAACAUCCUCUGACCUUGAAAUUGGAACUUGUGAGAUUAAUGCGUGCCCUCUUCGCACGGGCACGCCAUGAUCACCUGUCAAAAUAAAAAAUUGGGUUGCCUCCCAAAAGCGCCUUUCUUUAACGUCUUUGCCUAGACGGAGUCUAGAAUUUGCUUAAACUAAGCAAAUCGAGUCUUCCGGUUGUAUCAUCUCCACCCGUUCAAUUGGAAAUCCUUCAUAAUACGGCUUGAGACGGUGACCAUUCACCACAAAUUUCUUCUCCGUUUUCAAACUUUGGAUCUCUACUGCACCAUAAUGAAAGACAUUAGUCACAACAAAAGGGCCAAUCCAACGAGAACGUAAUUUACCUGGAAAUAGUUUCAAUUUGGAGUGGUAUAGUAAAACUUUUUGCCCGCAGACGAAUGUCUUCCUAGAGAUCUGUUGGUCAUGAAAGAUCCGAUUCUUCUCCUUAUAGAUCACUGCAUUCUCGUAUGCUUCAUUUCGGAUUUCUUCCAACUCUUGUAAUUGUAACUUUCUUUGAAUUCCGCCUUCCUCGAUAUCCAUAUUACAUUGUUUGACAGCCCAAAAUGCUCUAUGCUCAAACUCUAUUGGGAGAUGACAUGGCUUUCCAAAUACCAAUCGGUAAGGGAACAUGCCAAUAGGUGUCUUGUAUGCCGUCCUAUAUGCCCAUAGUGCAUCCUCUAGUCUCACACUCCAAUCCUUCCUAUCGGGUCGGACCAUCUUUUCUAGAAUUGAUUUGAUCUCUCGGUUCGAUGCUUCCGCCUGACCAUUUGUCUGAGGAUGGUAGGAUGUAGAGACUUUGUGCAAGACACCAUAUCUCCUAAAAAUUGCAGCGAUCGUUUUGUUGCAGAAAUGAGUACCCCGAUCACUUACAAUUGCUCGCGGCAUUCCAAAGCGAACAAAAAUAUUAGACUUAACGAAUUCUGCAACCACUUUGGAAUCAUUAGUGCGGGUGGCCUUUGCUUCUACCCACUUCGAAACAUAAUCUACAGCAAGCAAUAUAUACAAAAAACCAAAUGACGAAGGAAAAGGACCCAUAAAAUCAAUGCCCCAAACGUCAAAAAUUUCAACAAAAAUUGUUGGGGUUUGAGUCAUUUGAUCCCUACGAGAGAUAUUACCCACUCUUUGACACUUAUCACAUGACUUACAAAAUGAGUAGGCAUCCUUGAAUAGAGUUGGCCAAUAGAAUCCACUCUCUAGCACCUUUCGAGCCGUUCUCUUCGGUCCAAAAUGACCUCCACAUGCAAAAGAGUGACAAUAGGCUAUAAUAGAUUGAAAUUCAACUUCACUUACACAUCUACAGAUGAUUUGAUCGGCACCCCGCUUCCAGAGAUAAGGAUCAUCCCAAAUGUAGAACUUUGUAUCGCUCCUCAACUUGUCUCUCUUUGCCUUAGGCCAUCCUGUAGGAAAUUUGUCAGUGACUAGAAAAUUAACAAUAUCUGCAUACCAAGGCAAAGAUGAAUUAAUAGAAAAUAAAUGCUCCUCUGGGAAUGCUUCUCUCAAUGGGAUGUCAUCUUCGGUGACUUGUACUCGACUCAAGUGAUCUGCUACCAGAUUCUCCGCCCCUUUCUUAUCUCGGAUCUCCAGGUUGAACUCUUGUAGCAACAAUAUCCACCGUAUUAAUCGCGGUUUUGCCUCUUUCUUGGUUAACAGAUACCGCAAAGCUGCAUGAUCAGAAAAAAUAAUAACUUUAGCACCAAGUAAAUAAGACCGAAAUUUCUCUAAGGCAAAAACAACUGCUAAAAGCUCCUUUUCGGUGGUUGAAUAGUUCAAUUGAGCUCCGUUCAAGGUUCGAGAUGCGUAGUAGAUAGCAUGGGCUGCCUUUCCCACUCUUUGACCCAAUACCACACCAACUGCAUAGUCACUGGCGUCGCACAUGAUCUCAAAUGGGAGGUUCCAGUCAGGGGGUUGGAUAAUAGGUGAGGAGGUCAAUAACUCCUUUAACUUAUCAAAUGCCCCCUUACAUGUUUCAUCGAAUUCGAAGGAUACAUUUUUUUGUAAAAGUUGGAAUAAGGGUGCUCCAAUUUUCGAGAAAUCCUUGAUGAACCUUCUAUAGAAACCUGCGUGACCCAAGAAGGAACGAACUUUCCGCACACUCACGGGGUAAGGUAAAGUAGAUAUAACAUCUAUUUUUGCCUUAUCAACCUCAAUACCUGUAGAUGAUACAACAUGACCCAAAACUAUCCCGUGUUCAACCAUAAAAUGACAUUUUUCCCAAUUAAGCACGAGAUUAGUUUCUAUACACCUUACUAAGAUCAAUUUCAGGUUAUCUAGACAGUUUUCAAAACUUUCACCAUAUACACUGAAAUCGUCCAUGAAAACCUCAAUAAUAUUCUCAACAUAUUCUGAAAAGAUACUUACCAUGCAUCUUUGGAAGGUAGCAGGUGCAUUGCACAAUCCAAAUGGCAUCCUUCGGUAUGCAAAUGUUCCAAAUGGGCAGGUGAAAGUAGUUUUCUCUUGGUCUUCGGGUGCGAUGGCAAUUUGAAAAUAACCUGAAAAUCCAUCCAAGAAACAAUAGUAAGCUCGACAUGCUAAUCGCUCCACCAUCUGAUCAAUGAAAGGGAGGGGAAAAUGGUCCUUUUUCGUGACGGCAUUUAGCUUUCGGUAAUCGAUACACUGUCGCCAUCCGGUGGGCUUUCGAAUUGGUACGAGCUCACCCUCUUGGUUUGAUUCCACUGUCACCCCUGCCUUCUUCGGGACCACCUGUACUGGACUUACCCACGGGCUAUCUGAUAUUGCAAAUAUAAUUCCAACGUCCAGCAGUUUUAAAAUCUCUUUCUUUACGACCUCCAUCAUGAGAGGAUUUAAUCUCCGUUGAGCUUGCCGUACGGGUUUAGCAUUCUCCUCGAGUCGAAUUCGGUGCAUACACACCGCAGGGCUAAUUCCCUUGAUGUCGGCGAUGGUCCAUCCUAUCGCCUGCUUAUGUUCCCUAAGAACUCGAAGUAGUUUCUCUUCUUGAACCUUUGAUAAACCCGCGGAGAUGAUCACUGGAAGUGUCUCCCCUUCACCUAAGUAUACAUACUUUAGGUGUUUCGGCAGUGGUUUUAGUUCCAAGACAGGUGCCUGCACCACAGAUGGAAGUAACCUUUGGUGAGGUUCGGGUAUGAAAAUCGGUGCAAGAUCAUACCUUGUCUUCGUGGUUGGUAAUGUUUGCAACGAUCCAAUCACGCAUUUAAGCUCUUCACUCAACUCUACCCUAGAGGUCGUUUCGGACUCAAAGUGCCUGGUCAGGACGACCUCUAGUUCAUCCCUGCCUUCAAUUUCAAAAACCUCCUGUAUAGCAUGGUCAAUAACAUUUACCGAGAAAACAGAGCCAAUAUUUGAAUCGGAUGGAUAUUUCAUGGUCUCAAAGAUGUUAAAGUGAACAAUCUCACCAUCAAAUUCCAUAGACAAAGUACCCUUAUUAACAUCAAUUUUGGUUCGGGCUGUGCUCAAAAAGGGUCUACCUAACAACAAAGGUGACGGAUCACGGGAGUGUUCAUCCUCCAUGUCGAGCACAUAAAAAUCAGCUGGAAAAACCAAUUCGUUAAUUUUUACCAAAACAUCUUCAAUCAACCCGUCAGGGUAUGCAUUGGUCCUGUCAGCUAAUUGGAUUAUUAUCCCAGUCUCUUUCAAAGGGCCUAAGUUUAAGGAAGCAUAAAUGGACUUUGGCAUGACAUUAAUUGAGGCUCCCAGGUCUAACAUGGCCUUUCCAAUCAAAGUAUUACCUAUCCUACAAGGAAUUGUAAACAUACCUGGAUCUCCGCAUUUUGGUGGAAGUUUCCUUUGUAGAAUUGCUGAAACAUUCUCCCCAACUAUAACUCGUUCAUCCCCCUUCAACCGCUUGCGGUUGGCACACAGGUCCCUCAAAAAUUUUGCGUACCUGGGUACUUGUUUAAUCGCAUCCAGCAGGGGUAUGUUGAUCUCCACCUUGCGAAAGAUCUCCAAGACCUCUUUUUCCUUGUCUUUCUUCUUUGGUUUCUCUAACCUGCUAGGAAAGGGAGGUGGAUUAGUUUUAGUUGUAGGAAUUGGGUUCGAGGGUACCUUUGCAUUUUUGUUGUCUGUGCCCUCAUCUUCCAAUUCUUUCUCAAUCCGUUCCUCGUCCUUGUCUUUAGGAAUCACCGGUUCGGGUCCUUGGACUUUCUUGCCACUCCUCAAGGUCAUUGCACUUACAUUCUUUGGAUUCACCUCAGGUUGAGAUGGCAACUUCCCUUGAAUUUGGGACUCCAAACGGUUGAUCGUUAUGGCCAUUUGAUUCAUUUGAUUUUGCAAUGAUUGCACCUGUCCCAGUUGAUUCCUCAUGCUUUGUAAGUCUGAAUCCGUCUUUUGUUGGUUAACAAGUAAUUGCUUCAUCAUUUCUUCCAUGGACGGACUUGAGUUUGAAGGGGGUGGUGGUGGUGGUGGGCGAGGAUGGUACUGCUGUUGGUGUCCUUGCUGUCUAUUUGGCACAAAGUUAGACUGCCUAUUUCCUCCAUAGCUAAGGUUGGGGUGAUCCCUCCAACCAGGAUUGUAGGUGUUUGAGUACGGGUCGUACUGCUUUCUUGGCGCGGGCGCGUGGCCAGCCAUGUUCACCUGUUCUGCAGUUUCUUCUUGAACCAGUGGACACAUUUCCGUAGGAUGACCCACGGCAGUGCACACCCCACACACUUUGACUUGUGAAGCACUCCCCACAGCUAAUUGUCUUACGAACGAUGUUAAUUCGGAGAUCUGCUGUUGGAUAGAGGACGUUUCCACCUCAUUCACCUUACGCGUCGGGAUGUCCUCUCUUGAACCAAACUGCUGUGAGUUCUCAGCCAUCCCUUCAAUCAACUCCCAUGCUCCUCGAGGGGUUUUGUUCACCAACGCCCCUCCACUUGCAGCAUCGAUUAUGCUUCUGUCCCUGAAAAGCAACCCCUCAUAGAAAUAUUGAAUGAGCUUAAAAAUAUCAGAAAAAUAUCAGAAAAAAAAAUGAACUUAAAAAGAAACAAAUGAUUAACGCCAGUCCCCGGCAACGGCGCCAAAAAUUGACAGGUGUCGAGCCUGUGCAAUAAUAAAUACCUACUCGAGAAAAAUGAAUUUUUUGUGUAUAGUAGUGAGUAGGGUCGAAUCCACAGGGACUGGGAAAAAUUCGAUUCUUUUCAAGUUCGGGACACGGGGGAUUUUUAUCAGAAAUAAACUAAAAAUAAUUAAAUAAUUUAACCAAAAAUAAAUAAUUAAUUAAUACAAUUGUAAAUAGCAAUUAAAUAAAUGAUAAAUAAAUUCUAGCCAAGGAUACAACUACGCAGACACAGUCCAUUCAUCCGAUCAUUGAUGCAAAGAAGGUUCACUUAAUUUUAUUAACAGGUUAGUUAUAGUCGCCGAUAAACUCUAACGACCAGCUUUUCCUUAAUUUAUUGAUAACCAAGGUACGACCGUUGAUUACCCCUAACCAGGAAAUACUCCUAGGUACGACCGUAGGAAUUAAUUUCCUAAUUGCAUUAAAAACUAGAAAAGCCUAACCCAAAUUAAUAACACGCUACGAGGGUUAUUUAAAUCAGAUUGCAUGUCCCCCUAGUAUGUGAAAAUACUAGUUGUCACUAAUAUUAAUCAACUAAACAAUUACGGAUUUAAUUGAUUAAUUUGACAAGAGAUUAAUAAGUCAAAUUGCACAUCGGGCCCUUGAUAUCCAAUUAACAAAAUAAUCCCAUGGAAAUUAAAAUAGAAAACAUGCAAAUAUUAAUAAAUUAAGGAACACGUAAAAUUAAUUAGAUCUCACAGAUAUUUGGGACUGCGUCUUCGCGUUGAUCCUUGACUAGAGGAGAAAAUUAGCCACGCCUCAUAAGAAAAUUCCCACGCAAUUUAAAUGGAAUCAAAUACAUAAAUAACUAACUAAGAAUUUAGGAAGAAACUUGAGUCUCGCUAAACUCUUUUAAGAAAAGUUGCACACCACACAACAAGAGAAGGAAGAACUCCUCCUCUGAAAACCAAAAACUACCUCUAUCCUCCUACGGAGCUUCUCUGGAGAGAAAACUCCAAAACUAGUCUAAUGUCUUAUGAAAAACUAUCGUCUAAUGCCUUUCCCUUAUUUUAUUUUAGCACUAGUUUCCUAAGAGAACUAGUGACGUAGGAAGCUAAGUGGAAAAGCUCAAUCAUCAAAGUCAACACCUUGACUAAUGAGUAUAUCUCCCACAAUAAGAACAAACUUUCUACGUGGUCCCCACUUUGAUUUCUUAUUGCUAGUGGAUUUCAUCAUAUCAAUUCAAUUCUUCAUCAGCAAUUCCGUUCAUCAGCAAUUCCGUUGGUUUGCACAAUUUGGGCUGAUGGUGGAAAGCUUUUAGAAGCUUUCACGUGUGGAGAAAUCUUCUCAAGAAGGUCCCCUUUUAGCACUUUUCUGCUUCACUUUCUGAAAUUAUAUCCAAAUACCAAAUAUAAAUAUAUAUUGACAAUUAAAACAAUAUUUGGCAAGGAUAAAGAGGAAAAUUAACGAUAAAAUUACUAACAAUUAAUACCCUAUCAAAAGAAAACAACAUAUUAAAUUAGUAAAUCAAUUUUUACUGAAAGAAAGAGAAAAAAUGUAUAAAAUUUCACAGAGGAACCUAAAAUUGUGAUCAUAGUGAAUUUCAAAUUUUAUCACUUUUCAAGAAUGUAAAAAUAACUUAGGUAUUAAUGCAAAUAAUUAAUUAACACUUAGGAAAUUUAUUAGACUUCUAUGAAAUGAAGGGAGGAAGUAGGAUAAAAUUUUAAAAAAUAAAAGAAUAGAAAUUAAAAAAGGGGAAAAAUGAAAAAUAUGUCUUUGUAAAAAAUUAGAAUAUAAUUAUUGGAGUGAUUUAGAUUUACCCAUUAAUGAUCUAAACAUGUCAAAAUAAGUGAUCUAAACAUGUCAAUUUAAUACCCAUUAAUUAAUGGGUUUAAUUAGGUCACUCAUUUAUUUGUUGAUGGGCGAGCCAAGUAAACAGGUUAGCGGGAUAGAGCAAAGAGAAAAAAGAAUUUUGGGGAAUAUGAAGGAUUAGAGAGUUGUUUUUUUUUUUUAUUGAUACGAUAGCUUCCUACACUAUGGGGAGGAGGAGGGUUUGAAGAGGUUUUGGAGUAACUCGGAGGAGAUUUAACCACCACCGGACCAGAUGGGGUGCACUACGCACCUGCCUGGAUUUUUUAAACAAUGCCACAUUUAAUUGUGACAAAUUGGUGGAAAACAAUAUUUGAACCCUUGUCUCCUACCCCACCAAGCCUUAAUGCAUUGAUGGUAGCCACCAGCCUUUGGGCUCGUCGUUAUUAGAGAGUUGUGACUUGUGAGAAAGUUGGCUAAUAAGAAAUGUGAGGAAAAGGAUAGUGGAGAGUAAAGGGAUAUGGUGGAGCAAAUGGUGCUAAGAGGGAGAAUAUGGGGGAGAGAGAGGUAUUAAUGUUGUUUUUUUUUUUUUUUCCUGACGGAGGGGGUAUACGGGCCAUCAGGUAAAUCGGACCCGACUAAUCCCCCACCAGCCCGGGAGGAGAGGCCCCAUUCCUCCGAACACGAUAACCAUGUGACUCGAACCCUUGUGGGACUGGACAACGGCUCCUAAGGAGGUUUGCCGUGACCAACCGAGCUGCCCAUGAGGGGCAUAUUAAUGUUGUGUUUGGUGUGCUUUUUUUUGUGAUCUUUUUUCAUAUUUUUUAUAUGCUUUAAGGUUUUAGAUAAGAUACAUAAAUAAGAUAUAAAUUAGAUAAUAGUAUUCUUUUAAGUUUUUAAUCUUUUUUAAAUGUAACUACUAUAAAUAAUUCAUUUAUUAUUGUUAUUAUCAUCAUCAUCUUAGAUAUAAAUCAUGCAUAACACGGGUCAGAAUACUAGUUUUAUAUGUACUCUAGAAGGAUAUUUCGAUACCUAAUUCAUUGAAAAAAAUAUUUUACUUACAUUAUAAAUAUAUCUCUUAGUUAUAUUUUUAUUUUUAAAUUAUCUUUUUAUUUCACAUAAUCACAUACAUCUAUAAUGCUGUAAUAAAUUUUUUUUUCUCUAAGUGAUGAACUAUACAAACACCUUAUGCUAAUACAAUUUGGUAAUGACGAACCACUUUCCUAUAAAAAGGCAUGUGUCACCGAUGGACGAUUUGUAACCGUUGCCUAUGUCAGAAACAUGUUGGUGAGCGAUGUAUGUCCUUGCUGGGCAAUUUGUAACCGCUGCUACUGAUGUCAAAUUUUGUGUCCUUACUGAAUGAUCUGUAAUUGUUGGUGCCAUGUGAAAACUGUGUUGGUGAGCGAUCUGUAUCCUCGCUAGACAAAUUUGUAACUACUGAUGCCGAUGUCAGAAUUGCAUUGGUGAGCAAUCUGUAUAGAUCCAUCUAUGGUCCAAGAGGUAUGUAUGACUCGUAAGAGUAAUCGAAAUCGAAUCCGAAUCCAUCUAAAACUUUUUUUUUACCAAAAAAAAUUAAUAAAACAAAAGCCAUGUUUUAAACUGAUGUCAGAACUGCUGUGUUGAUGAAUAUAAGUCCAUAUAUGAUCUCAGAGGUAUGCCCUAACUCGCAUGCGUAACAGAAAUCGAAUCCAAAUCCCUCUAAACUUUUUUUUUUUUUUUUUAACAAAUAAAAAACACAAACACAUGUUUGAAAGGAAAUGCGUGGAACUUGGGAGUGGAAAUUAAAGAGAGAGAUUGGAAAUGCCCUUGGGCUUUGACUCAUAAAGACUCCUCGUCACUGUGCAGCAAGUAAAGUUCCUUUCUUUCCCUCCAAGUAUCCGGCUUCCCUCAGUUCUCCAGACCCACGCGAGAGAUGGGCGGCCAGGAUAAACCCCCAGGACCCGGACUCGAACCCGACAUACAGCCAUUACUGAACGCCUCCAAAUACUUCCUCUGUCACCGGAACUUUUCCCAGAGCUUGAAAUACGCGGACAAAGCCCAGCAAUCCAAUCCAAACCACCCUGGUCCGCCCCAAAUCCUCGCUAUAUCCACUGUUCUCUCGGCGACUCCGUCCUCGACCCGACCCGAACAGCCAGAAUGGUACUUAAUCAUCAACCUCCCUCGUUUUACUCAAGACCAGAAUCUGAUUCGGACCCGUUGUGCUUCGCUCGUCAACCUCUUAAACCCUGACACAAACCCUUACCCAUUUGCAGCCGAAGCCCGUGAUUGGGUUGUCAAAGCAGAAUCUGUUUUGUCUGACCCGGACGCGAAAGCCCAGUAUGAUAACGGAUUGAAAAUGACGCAAAAAAAUGUUGGAAAUGGCGGCGGAACUUUUUGGACUUUGUGUCCGUACUGUUACUUUAUGUAUGAGUACGAGAAAAUGUAUGUGGAUUGUGUCCUGAGGUGUCAGAAUUCCAAAUGCAGGAGGGCUUUCACGGCGGUGGCCGUUGCUGCUUCAGCGGCGCCGCCACCGGAGGUGCUGGAGGAAGGAAAGUAUACCUGUUAUGGGUUUUCGCCGCUGGGUUCUAACAAUGGAAGUGGUGGUGAUUCUGGUGAAGAGAGAGGGAAAAGUUGGUGGGCUCCAUUUGUAUCCAUGGGUCAAUAUCCGGGUCCAGUUCGGGCCGAUGAGGAAAAGGUGGAUGUGAGGACUAAUGUGGACUCAAGGAGUGAAAAGAGUAAUGGGUUUAUUGAAAUUUCUGAUGAUGAAACUGCAGGUAAAGAGAAAAUUGAAAGAGGGGGACAGGGAAACGGUGUUAACGAUGGGAAGGUGGUGAUGAAGAGGAAAAAAAUGGCUGCUAUAGGGAAGAAGAAAUUGAUGGGAAAAGGGAUUAGAGUUGUUGGGAACCAUAGUUUAUCAGCGGAGGGUGGUGAAGGAAUAGGAUUUAAAGCUGGAGGGAACGAAGCAAAUGCAAAUACAAGUCCAGGGAAUGAAGCAAAUGCAAAUACAAGUGGAGGGAUAACGGAAGGCUGUAAUGAGGAGGAAUUGGAGUUUUGUGCUGGAGAUGAUGAUAUUUUUGUUGCUGUGAAUCCUUGUGCUGAUUUAGGAUGUGAAAAGCUUAGGAAUUGAUGAGAGAUGAGUUGGGGAUUUUGAACUCUGUUUUUGUGCACUGUUUUUCUAGCUGGGAGCCUUGGACAUGAUGGUGUACUAAAUGGCCAGUAAAGUUUUGUAACUGGUAGAAUCAUGUUGAUAAUCAUUAGAAUUGUAGACCAUAGAACUGGUAGAAGUGAAGAAGUAAUCCUGAAUAUGGUUCUUGAUAUCUUUGUGUGGCUGUCAUGUGGAUUCUUUUGCCGGUAGUAUUUGAUGUUUUGAAACAGUUAUAUGGCCAAUAGUAUGCUUGGUUUUAUCCAAAAGUAAGUUGGAAAAAAAAAACAGAGAAAGGGAUCAUAUGAUUGGUUAUCUUUUUGUUUAUAGUUUGUUAUUGGCAUACGAGUAUUAAGUCAUAAGCAAGGAAGAAGAUUAAAAUAUUCUAGGUGCUUUAAUUUGAUUGCUGGGUUUUGGAUCUGCUCUGCUUUGCCGUCCAAUUUUUCUAACAUUUCCCGCCAAUAAUAUUUCUUCAGCAAUCAAAUUGGGUCUGAAUCUGCUCUGUUUUAAAGUCCAAUUUUUCUUCUAUUUCCUGUCAAUUUUUAUACUAUUCUAGCUGCUUUAGUUAGAUUGCUGGGUUUUGAUCUGCUCUGCUUUAGUGUCUAAUUUUCUGACGUUUCCUGUCAAUAUUUUAGAUUUUCUUUACCUUUGCCUUUUUCUUUGCUGGAUUGCAUUGUUUAUGUUUCUGGUCUUCCUUUUAGUGCUGAUGCUGAGGAUCUUUAAUGUCUGAAAAAUCUGAGCCUAAAUUUCUCUAACUUGGACAAGUCUGAAUGUUGGUGUAGCUGUAUAUCUAGGAUGGUAAAUUGAUGGGGAUUUGACUUGUCAAGUUGAGAAAAGGGGGUUUUUUUGGGGGGGAAAGAAAAUGAAGCUGAAGUUGAUGAGGACAUGAACUCUUCAUGUCGAGUAUUUACAUUAUACUUGAAUUUUGGUUCUGUCCUGAGGUUUGGUGCAUUCUCCUUGAUUCUAAUAAAUUGGUGGUGGCUCAUCUAUCUUCUUCUACUUCUUGUUGGAAGGUCCAUUGUAACUUUUUGGUAAUUUGGGUUCGGAUUGCAUCAAGAGAUAUCCUGCAAUAUUGGGUUAUCUUUUAAUGAGAUACUGGGAUAAUAUAAUGGACUAGUUCAGCUCUGAGAAGCUAGUUUUUAAAGACUCAGAUCAACAAUGGGAAAUUAUGUGUUAUGUUUAUUUGAUUAGGGUGACACACUGGUACUAGGAAGCAAUAAAGAAGUUAUUACCUCUUUGAAAAUGUUGUGUGUGUAUAAAUCAAGAAGCGACUGUGUUAAUUUGUUGAAAAAUAAGAACCACUAAAAGUAUGCAGAAAUCUAGUAAUCAAGCAUCGGUAGUCCUGUCCUGUGGCCCUCUUUCUUUUCUGUCUCUUUAGCAUCAAGUAGAAUAAGAGAAUUGGAAUGAUAUAUAAGUGGGAGAACAGGGGCAGACAUCCCUACAAGGGCCUGUCCGGACUAAUCUAGGAUGUCUACCUAAUUUUAUCUUCCAGUUUAGCCCCCUGUGACUGGAUGGUCUUUUACCUAUAUUGACUGCUAUUAACAAGUCUGAAGAGAGAUUGUGUUAUAUCAUGUGGGUGCGUUUGCAUAUUGAGCAUUUAGCUUCCCUGCGAAUGCUUUUUCUUUUUAUUUUAAUUGUGUUUUCAACGAGAAUAGAUUUUGCUUCUUCUUGAUUUGCUUGUGUCUUGCGUGUUCUGCUUUAUUCUGCUUAGAUAUCACAGUUGAACUGCAUAUCUUCUGAUGCAUGUCGUCAUGUCAUUCUUCGCCUAAAUUGUGCUGAGAAUAGGAAUGAGAAGAAAAAAAUCUCUAAACUACCUAGGUGCAGAGAAACAGCUUCAUAGGCUUAAAGCCGCUCCCACAGGUUCUGGUUCUGCAUUUUCUUGCCUCACCAACUCUCUCCCUCUCUCUUGCUUAGUUGCUUUUGAUUUUUCUGAUGUUUCUUCCAUUUGAUAAUGUAUGAUCAGAUAGAGCGUGAUCUCUUUUAGGCCGCGUACGAGUUCAUACUUUGAGAUGGAUGAGGAACUAGCUUGUUGCAGGUUGAUUGAGUUUAUAUAUUAGAUUAAUUAAGACUGCUUAAGAAAAAGAUUGAUGUUAACUUCGAUCAGGCUCAACUAAAAACAGUUUUUCAGUGUGAAGAAAGAUGCUUCUUUCUUUAAGGUGUCAUCCAAUGGCUGUACUAACAACUUUUUGGAAGCAGAUUUUAACUUGAAAGUCGAGACCCCUAACUUUUAUCCAUCUGGGAUUCCUGAUGGGCCAAUUUUACACAUGUUCGAUUGCCCUGUGCAUGUAUUAUUGUUUCCCAAGCUAUAAGGAAGAAAACAGAACUUUUUGUUACAAGCAGCUUCAUGGGAUAUCUUUAACAGCAAAAGAAUUAGUCUUGUGGAAUGGUUUAUUCAGUCAUCUCCCUCUUUUUGUGGUGGGGGAAAUGUGGGGUUUUCUUUCUGGUUGCAUAUUAUUUAACAAAUCAAGUCAAGCUUGCGAAGUGGAACGAAGAAGAUUUAAGUUGAUUUUUUGCACAAUUCGUUGAAGGUGCAAAGAUGCAAAAUAGAACAUAGAGGAGACAUUAAAUUUGGCCGAGAGCGGAAAAUCAAGAUAACAAAAAGAAACUUGAACGUGCCAGGAAAAAAAAAUCACACUACUGCCUUUUGUUCUGCUCUUUGGCUUACUUUUGAAUCAAACUGAUCAUUUUUGUCAAAGCUGAGGACUAAAGAACUUCAAUUCUCUCAAGUUGGGUUUUCUUUUCACACCCACGUGGGCAAAGACACUCAAUUCCUUGCCUCUCCUCAGUCCUCCCCCAAUCCCACACGAAUACAAAAGAAUUUCACACCAAAUAUGCAUACAAGGAUAACUUCCAAAACCCAAAAAAAAAAAAAAAAAAAAACACACGCACACACACACACAAGGAUAGUUGCCUAUACAGGGGAUUUUUCACAUUUUGUCACUAAGUUGUUGGGCAUAGAAAUCCCUCCUUGGAAGUUUAUCCAUGGCAACCGACCAUCUCUGAGAGUUUACGGGCCUAUUUGGUAAAUAAGUUUUUGAUCAAGUUCGUCUGCCACAAGUUUUUUAACAACUUUAGCUAUAGUAAUCUCAAGAAAUUUCUUAAAAAUUUUAAACUAUAUAUUUCAAAAUAUCUAAAAAUUUAUACAUUUCAAAAAUUUUACAAAUAACUCCUAUCGUAAAUUACAGUAAAAUUUUAGACAAACACCCAAAAAAUUUAUUUGACAAACGGCUUGGUUUCAAAGUUGUUGCCAACCUUUGCAUCUUUUAAGUCGAAAAGUGAAAAAGGCAAAGCAAAGCAAAGAUCCAAACUGUAGAUGCUGGAUAAAGAGGACACCCUAUGUUUCUUCAUACCGUGAACUUAGUGAGGUGACCGUCCCAGCUGUAUUUGAUUGAAUUCAACUUUUCAUCCAUUGUGAAUGGGAUCUUUUUCCAUUCCAUUUCAAUCUGUCUGAAACCCAAAUGAUUUUGCAUUGUUUUGCUAAUACACGUAUUUCUUGGUCCUGUUUAUCCUAGGACUAUUUUGCAUAUGCUGAUUUUCACGGACACCUAUUUGACAUAGAAAAAGCAGUUUAAACUGGAGCAAUCUUGAUUUUCAUGCUUGCUUAAUUUAAGCCUUAAAGCUUCAAACGUCAUCAAUGAUAUAAAUGUGAUUGGAAUCUUUUAAGAGAAAGGGUAACUAUUUUUUUGUCUGUAACGAUACAUAUGUAUAACCUACUCUAUCCUAAUAUAGGAUAACUUGAUAUUGUGUUCUUUGUUACAAGGUACAAAAGCAUCCUACCACCAACCUCCAUACUUUUAGCACAAAGGGAACUGAUUAAAGCACAACUAAAAGAAAAGAAAUUAGAAACUUUUUUUAUCAAGAACAGAACAGUUUGCUGAUUGGUCUGUGUUAGAGGCUAACGGUUACAGGAAAAACAAGCCAGCGGUCCUUGUUGCGGAGAACAAGUUUGAGGUCAAAGAGGGGACUGUGGGGCUCUGAAGUUGCAGGUGUGUGGGAACAAAUGGACAAACAGCAAGGCUGCCUCUGCCUUUUCUUUCUUGGGACCCCAAAAAUAAAAUUCUUCUGCUGCAUGCCAAUGCCGUAAUCAACUGCGCCGGAAAAUCAUUGCUCUUUUGAACUUCUCCAUUAGAAUUCACUGGCCAAACCAAAAGCACAUCUUGUGAUAAAUAUUCUCCCUGCGCUUCUCACCUUUUUGUUCCUGUGUUUUGUUCAUAUCCCAAUAAUGUCAAACGCAGCGUUAUACGUUAUGAAUUCUAUACUUCAUGUAGGGGAAAAAAAAAUUGUACUAGUAUCACUUGGUUAUCAUACAUGCACCUUUUGAUUCUCUAUUGCUAGAACUCGUGCAGAAGCAGAUCUCCUCCAUUCGAUUUGUCAAUUUUGAUAAACGUAUUUUAAUUGAAAUAUAUUUUUGAUAAUUUUUCUAUCUAGUCUAGAAGUUUGCUAUUACAAUUUUCAAAGUUUCUUUGCAUGUAUUCCUGUCUGCCAUAAGAUCUAACAAGAAGUCAAGAACUCAAUGACGGGUGAAUGUUGUAAUGAUUAUUUCUUUUGUAUGACAAGCACACUACUGUAAUUUUUAGAGUUGUAGACAUUUAUAAAAUAUUAGUGGUGUUCUAACAUAAAUGAAUCUCUCAAUAUAAUCCUGUUCUUAUUCCAAAAUUUUAGAUACAUUCACUCCUAAAAAGAGAAUACUCUCAUGAUUUUUCGUUUAUGUUGUGUAAGUGAAAUUGAAAUUCACAGCGCUGUGACUGUUUGUCCAAAUUAAGGGCAUAGCUACAACCAUUAAGAGGUCAAGGGAUCUUUUCAAAGAGGGAUCAUAGUUUGGGGGCUUAAGUGAAUAUACCGAAAAGUGAAAAGUACAAAUAGCCUGAUUUUAUUAGUGAACCUUUGCCUUACAGUCACACCGCAUCCUUACUAACAAGUCCAACUAGACAUACUAAAAGCAUCACUCAUUUUCACUUCAAAUUGGCUGAUGUCCUGAUGAAGAUAGAGCAAUCUUGGCAUCCAACUCUUACGAAAACAAUCCUUUUGUCUUGGUAACAGGAGAAAUCAUCUCUGGGAUUUUUGUGCGAUAUUUCAGAUUUACAGAAUCUUCAAACUCAGAGGCGUACCAGAAGAAGCAGGUUGGAUUCUAACUAUAAAUGCUUCACCUUGAUUACGUUGCAAUUUUCCUCAAUCAUUUUCACUUCUACUAGUUCCCGUGGAAACAUAUGCCUUAAACGCCAAGAUUCUUCUUUUUUCUUGUGCUUCUUUGUUGUUUUUACCGAGAUGGAUUAUUCAUUUGUCUACUUUUGAUGCCUCACUUCUACUUGCUUUUGUCUACUCUUUUAUAUCAAGUGAGAGGAGCAAAUGCAUACUUUGCCAAGUUUCUAUGAAGUUGGAAGCUGUUCAGAGUCUUACAACUUCCUUCACGAAAUUUUGAACUCAAGAGAGCAACUGCACCUUGACAAUUCAAACGUUAAUGCCAUUUCAAUGGCUGAGGCAAAAGCAGUUGCAGCAAACAAGAGCCACAGUGAAGCUGAAAGGAGAAGAAGAAAGCGUAUCAAUGGUCAUCUUGCGACACUUCGCAACCUUCUUCCCAAAACCAUCAAAGUAAGUUUUGUUCAUUCAUCUAGUUGCUCUUUUUAUUUCCCUAUUCAACUUUUCCAUGUUCAAAAGACGACCCUCCAUUCUUCUUUUCUUGGUUAAUAAGUUUGAAAUGUAAUGAAUAUAGGCAGACAAGGCAUCAUUGUUAGCUGAGGUUGUCCGGUGCCUAAGAGAGCUAAAGAAGUCAACAGAAGAACUCUCAGCUACAGAAGGUGAUGAUCAGUCCAACACAGCAAUGAAACUCAUGUUUCCUAGUGAAACUGAUGAACUCAAGUUAUGUUAUGAUGAUGGAGAUUCAAGGACUAUAAAGGCAAGAUUAUGCUGCGAGGACCGACCGGAGAUGAUGAUAGAGUUAAAGAGGGCAUUAAACGCAGUAAAAGCUAAGGUGGUGAAGGCAGAAAUGGCAACAGUUGGGGGAAGAACAAAAACUGUGCUUUGGCUGCAAGCUUCAGCAGCUGGAGAAGAAGGGCUGGCGACAAUAAGGAGAGCACUGAAAGUGGUUGUAGACAGGUCUAUCAUGUUGUCUACUCCUGGCCAGGCUUUGCCGGGUAACAAGCGGCCUCGUCUCUAUCACUGCUGAAUAUGAGUUUAGGGUUUUGUAUUUUCUGAAUCUUGACGGUGCCCCCUGUUUAAAAUGGUCCAUACUAAUGUUGGGGAUGGGGACCAAUGACCCCAUGGAAAUUGAAAAGUGAGCUAAGGUGAUCAUGGAUGAGGUAGGAGAAUUUGAAGUGUCAAUUUGGUAGAAGAUUUAUCCUAGUUAUGUAUGAAUGUCAAACUCCCAGCUGGUGCUAUGAAUCUAAAAAGUAGUACUGCCUGCGCUGCGAGAUCUUCAUUCGUGUUUCCUUUUAAUUUUAAUUGAGAAGCAAAAUUGCGAGCUCUGAGUGAAUUAUGAAAGGGGUAAAAGUUUAAAUUAUUUUGGUAGAAUUCUUCGUUUUGCAGGCUGUUUCUAAUGAUUCCUUGAGUUACUAACAUGUUCCUUUCUUUGAAGGGAAAAAAAAAUUGUAACAGGGUUGAGCUAGUAAUGAUUUCCUUUUUCUAAUCAAAAGUUUGACUUCGACUUAGAGUAAGAGAAAAGUGGGGUUGGGGGAGCCUAAUCACUGAUUUCUUGUUUUUCGACUUUAGAAUCCAAGGUAAUCAUUAACAUUUGCUCUUAUCAGACUAGACUAUACUAUUUCAGGCAUAUGUUUUUAGCCUUUAAUAGUUUAAUCAUAUGAAACACUAGCUUAUCUUUUUCUCAAUUUUGGAGCAAAUGUAUUACCAAUUUCUAACUCUUAUUUGACACGCGACUGCAGUCACUCCCCCUCAUUUGUUUGCUUAAAUUACGUAAGACCUACUCCAUGUUUUUUCUCAACCAAGCCAUACACAUACCUUCAUCAAGAAUGUUGUCCUAUGUUUGAAAUCAAUUGAGAAGUUGAACUAACAAUAGAAAUCCUCCAUUUCUUCACAACUACAUUUUAUCCAACUCUUUGAACUUUCCAAACACACAAAAUCUAUAAUUCACUAUAAAUAGCCAAUGCAGUUCCAAUCAAUUCAUUCAACUCAAAACAAAAGAAAGUACAAACCCUUUUAGCCACACUCUUUUUGUGCUUUUGAUCAAACAAUGGCUGCCUUGAACCAUUGUCUCCUUUUCUCCUUGAUGGUAGCAUUCUUCUUCUCAAGCUUCCAAAUGAGUUUCGCAGCCCGCCACCUGCUGCAGGCACCAUUGAUUCCAACAAUGCCUACGAUCCCAUCGCUUCCUAAACCCGCUGGGAUGCCUCCAUUGCCUUCAAUUCCAAGCAUUCCUAAGGCAACAUUGCCACCUUUGCCAAGCAUCACAUUGCCUAAAAUCCCAGCUGCUGCUGCACCACUGCCAAAGCCCACUUUGCCAAGCACACCUCCGCUCCCAUCCUUGCCAAUACCCACCCUACCAUCUUUCCCAUCUGUUCCCAAGUUCACUCUACCUCCACUGCCAUCCAUUCCAAAAAUCCCCGUCCAAGCACCACCACCAUCUCACUAGUGCUGGAGGCUCGAGUUCUUGCAUUUGGUUUCAUUACGCCAUAUUGGUAGAUUCAUGAGCUGUUCGGUUUGAUCUUAUGUUCAUGGUUUGGUGUAGUAUUUCUGUCUUUUUUACGCAUUGGUUACAUGUAUUUGUACUUUGGCGAUUUGUAAACCAUUUCCAUUUCUGUAUUCAUCCAUUGUAUUCUUGGAGCGUUCGUGUGUUGUAGAUCUAUUUGUGAGUAUUAGUAAAAAUAACUUUUAUCUUCGUUUAUAUAUAUCAUCUUCAUUCUGUGAUUAUAAAGCUGUUUUUUUUUUGUUUCCAAAUGAAUUGUGAACGUAGAUUAAAGAAUUAGUCUAAAUAAAAUUUGGAGGGCAUAUUCUAGCCUGACACUCUUCAUCAAUCAUCAAUCAGAGGGUUGUAACAUGCGUUGGAAAACGCCUCCACAAUAGGGUGAAAAAGGAAUGUUGAAUAAAUUUGAAUGCAAAAUGGGGCAAAUGCCAAGCGUUACUUGGGUACCUUCGUUGGAUUUGGUGCUUGACAAUUCCAUGUAAAACCUGCCAAAAACAUGUGCAACCAUGACCGCAUGCAGUAAACGGAAUCCCUAAUGUAUUACAAUUCAAUAAUAAUAAAAAUGCAAACAUAUGAAUUAUUGCGUAAUAAGUACAUGAUAAUUGUACAAUAAUUCAUAUGAAUUAUUAUAUAGUGAAAUUUGAAUUUAAGAAUUUAAAGUCUUGAACCCUAAACCUUAGGUUGAAAACUCAUUUUCAUGUUAAUGGACGUCCCUCAACAUGAAUUAUCUUUAGCGUUGUUUGUAUUUUCUAAUGUAAAUCAAAUUUAUGAAUCAAUAUAUUUUUUGAUAAACAAUAAUUAAGCUUGCUCUAUGCUGACCAGCUGUGCAUAUACUUGUAAACAUCAUAGCACUCUUAUAAACUUAAAAGAGCUUACCUUGUUUCUUCCGGUGAUUACAGUUCUUUAAAACCUUAAAAAAAAAAAAAGUGAAGUAAAUUUAACUUUUUUUUUUUUGUGGGGUUGCAUGUCAACCGAAAUCCAAAUUCAGAUGACCUUUAGGUUGCAAAAUUUUUCAUUGAAGGAGGGAAAAAAGGGACCAAAUCCGUCAAUUAUUCAAUUCCAAUUGGGUCCCUUAAUAAUUUUGGAGGCCCAAAACCAAAAUGCUACGAAUUUUCUCUUUCGUAACAACAGGUUUUAAAGCCGAUCUAUAGCAUGUUCUUCCCAUUCCAUCUUGUCUUCCACUUUCAAGACCAAUUUGGUCUGAUUACAAGAACAAUAGCUGAAGAUUUGCUAAGAUAGGAACAAAAAUAGAUUGACAUUAUAAUUGCGAUUAAGAAACUGUUGAAACUGGUUAAGAACUACAACUACUGAAGCGUUUUGAUUUGCAAUGAUAGGAGCAGAAAAAGAUUGACACUGAAUUUCUACCAAGAAAUGGUAGCUUUUUUAGGAAUAAGUUUAUUAUUGCUUCUCGAUCUACUUAUUUAUCGGCAUCAGAUCAUUGGAGAUUCUUUAAUAGAUGAUAAUCAUCAUAAAAUCUCACAUUAAAUUUGUACGAUGAUGGGUCCUGGCUAAUUUUCUUUACAAUUAAUUCAUGGGUUUUUAAGGGAUACAAAAACUAAGUUAUUAUAAGGAAAUAUAUAUAUAUAUAUAUAUAUAUAUUUUACAUUAGUAUUGAGGAAAGAGAAUCACCCAUGACACAAAAAGAUGGGUUUAAAAUGGUUUCAUGCAUGUUAUUACUGGAAAGAGGUGUUAUGACACUAGAAUCAGCUUGUCAAAGACAAGUUGGUUGUUAAUAGAGAUUCAAAAUUUUAAUUUGGGGUAUAAGUUUGUAGUUUUAAUCUCAAACCUUGCAAUUAAAGAGGAUUUAGCGUAUGCUCUUUCCUUUCCUUCUUCUCCCUUAUAAGGUCAGAGUCUCCUUUGAAUCAAAGUAAAAAAACCAAUAAUCCAAUAAAAAUGUCACUAAAAAUAAUGUCAUAUAUAUAUAUAUAUAUAUAUAACAGUAGUCUAAUAAUAUCCGAAAUGGAUUAAGAAUCUGAAAUAAGCUCAAUUAUGAAUGAUGCUACCCGUCCUUUCGAACAAGAAUUUUAAAUGAUUUUAGAAGGGCAAUGUAAAAAUGCUUUUUGAUUUUUUUUUUUAUGUCUUGGGAAACCACCCCCCCCCCCCCCCCGGUUCUCAUGGACAAAAUGUCCACUUCUUUUUUAUCUUGUUCUCCCCACUUUUCCAGUCGAAACAAUCAGACCCCAAUUCAGCUCUGUUUUCAGACUCGGACCGGACCGGCCGGUCGAACCGGUCGAACCGGAAACCGGCCAGGUAGCCGGUCCGAGUCACAUUAGAAAACCGGAAAUUUAAAAUCCGGUCAAAGCCGGUCAAAAACCGGGUUUGACCGGGAAAAAACCGGUUUUUCCGGUUCAACAGUAAUUUUUUUUUAAAAAAAUUCAAACUUUUUAAUAUUAUGUUUUGACCCCCUAAAUUGUUAAAACUUAUUGAUAUAGCUCAAAUAUUUGAUACUUUAUAAAUAUUGUCCUAAAAUUUGAUGUUAUUUUUCAAUUAAAUUCAUAAUUUUAAUUCUAAACUUGUUAAUAUUUAUUAAAUAAUAUAAAUUGCUACUUGAUUGUUCUAAUUUCUUUGUAUUUUCUUGUUAAAUAUAUUUGAAACAUCAAAUAUAUAUGAAUAUGCCUUUAUUAAUAUCAAUAUAUUAUUAGAUAUUAUAUAUAUAAUAUUUUAAUUUUUAAAUAAUUUUUAUUUAUGACGUCAUCCGGUUCGACCCCUAUCGACCCCCGGUCGAACCCAUUGACCCCUGACCCCUGACCUCGGCCGAGUCGCUAUCCGGUCCGGUUCUGAAAACAUAGCAAUUCAGUACCUUUUUCAGUCCCCAAAUUCCCGGGGAAAUUUCUAAUCUAUGGAGUUCUUCUUAGUGAGGAGGCUCAUUAGAAUGGUGACACAUACAUUCAAAUCUACGCAUCCUCUGCAUUUUACGAUGAAUGUAACAUGAUUCUUCGUUAAUUAUUCUCCAUCUAAGAAUAACCCAAAUUGCUAACCGACUCCCCCAUUGUUGGAGUAUACAGGUGCCUGAGAGAAGUGAUGUUUAGUUGCUAACCUUUGUGAUCUCAUCAUAAGUCGAGAGGUAGUUGAUCAAAACUCCUUGUGUUCAUUUGCCAGUUGCCACUUUGAUGCUUAUUUUCAUUCCACUGCAACAUCUAUUCUUCAGUUGGUGGAUGCUGUUAGGAACUUAGGAUUUAAUUAUCUCAGUCAAAAUUUUUGCAACUAAAAUCUAGUUGAGAAGGCAUACCAACCUAUACAUCUUCAAACUGGUCCAACUACAUUUGAACUUAUCCUUGAAGCUGAAGGGCUUCCUUUAAAUAGCCUAGUCUUCCCCUUUAAGCUGAUCAAAAUACACAAAAAAAUCCUACUACCUUGGAAACUCAAAGCGGAGCUUCGAUCUUCUGCAUCAAUCAAUCAGCAUGGCUUCUUCUUCUUUUUCUAACCUUUGCAUCUUUCUAUCUCUGAUCAUUGCUUUGUCAUUUCCAAGCAUUCAUGUAACCGAGGCGGCUCGCCAGCUUUUACAAACCUCACAACCAACAAUACCGACGUUGCCCACCCUGCCAAACUUGCCCACCGGAGCAGCAGCAUUGCCACCAUUGCCAACCACUCCUCUGCCAACAUUACCCACAAAUGUUCCAUCCUUGCCAAACCCCGCAUUGCCAACAGUUCCCACAAUUCCUCUGGGUGCCCUCCCUCCCAUACCAGCUGCAACUUCAUUGCCAAACAUCCCAUUCACAAUCCCUUCAAUCCCAACUAAUCUCCCAACGUCAAUUCCUUCAAUUCCUUUCUUCUCACCUCCACCAUCCAACUAGACCAUUUUCUACCUGAACUUGUUUCAAUCAUUGAAUAUGCCGUAUCUGUUGCUUCGUUGUGAUAGCCUAAUGAUUUCCAUAUAAUUUGGAAAUUUUCACAGUUUCAAUGGUCCUUGUAGGGAUCCUAUGAAACAGAUGGAGUUUGGAUUAUAUUGUGAGUCCCUGUAUUGUACACUGCAGGUUGUAUUCCCAUUUCUAAUGUUAUGAAUCCUUUUAUAUUUAUACUAUAUAAGAGCAACAUCUUAAAAUUUUCUCUUUUUUUUUUGUAUUUGAUUUUUCUGGAAUUACCUUCUCAGUUUCUAGUGCUCUGUUACACUGCUAAUUCCAUUCCAUUUGAUGAUAUGUCUCUUGAAUUAUGAGUAGUGUUUCAAUGAUGGGAACAACAUUCGCGCCGAUUUGGUCCCCAUGUGGUAUUUGGCAAAAAUGUCACGGAAACUUUAACAAAAAAAAGUCAGAUCUACCAUGUAAUUUUAAGAAGGAACAAUUUUGUUGCUUGCGAUUGGGAAAGCAACAGUUUGUAUUUACUUUCAGUUUUAAGAAUAUGGUGUAAUGAAGUCAAUUCGAACUCAAUUAGUGAACAACUCGAGAUCGAUCUGAACUAAAGUACUUGAGUUCAAAUUUGAAUUCAAACUUGACAAACUCUUAAGUUUCAUCACAUACAAAUGCUCACGCUUGGACUCGUCAUUUUUUUUUUUUUUUUGGAAUUCAUGAAGUUGUUCAAACUUGAUCAAAGCAAACUCGAAUUCAAGCUUUAAUUGAACAACCUUGUGAGUGGUUGGAUUGGACGUUUGCAACCCUACUUUAAUAGGAAUACUUGUUAAUUGAUACCAAGGUUUCCUUCAGUUACUAAAGCUUUGGUGCUACGUACUAUUUAGAUUCAGUUUUAAGAGUUAUUAAUGAAUAGCAGCCAAUAAUAUAAAAGCAGCAUAAAUUACAACAGUUAUAAUAGCCUCUCAAAUGAUCAUGAAAUCAAAAGCAAACCGCAUGAAUGAAAUCAAUACUGAUGGGGUUUAUGUUCUUGAAUUUUCUGUUUAUUUAAUUCCCUUCGCAUGAUAAUACAAAUAUGAUUCUUGGAGAUAAAGUUCCCUAAUAUUUGAGAGUUUCGUCCGCUCAAAUAAAUAUUCCACGUGUCUGACUUUUGGAGAAGAGAACACUUGGCAAAGCCUGGAUUAAACCUUAUUUGUCCAAGUCAUUCCCAUUUCCAGUUCAUCCCCUAUAAAUUCACCCCAUACAGAUCAGUUUCAUGCAGUCAAAACGUAAUUUCUCCUGAUCAGUUUCAAAACUGUGGAUUGCCAGAUGAUGGAGAAGGCUUCAAUCAAGUCUACUCUCUCAGAGUUGCUCUCUUCAUUCUUCCAAUUUGUUAGCCUCUCUCUCUUGAUCUCUCAUUUACACUUGCACAGGACUAGAAUGUGUAUUGGUGAUGGGAUUCUUGCUUCAUAACUUGAAUUCACCGGUUGAAAAUCAUCACUUUAUUUCUUCUAUUAAAAGAUUGUUUCUUGUUCACAAAAAAGGAAAAAAAAGAAAAAGAAAAAGAUAAACAGGCCCUUUUCAGCUAACAGUUCUUUCUUCCUAAUGUCAUUUGAUUGCAGUAUUAUCAUUCCCAACGAUGAAAGUGAUGGAAGUGAAAAUGGCAACGAGCAUCUCAAGAAAAUUUCAGAUAUUUGAAUGUGGAAAUCCUUGUAGCUCUGAUGCGGAUUGCAAAUGCACUGAUUUCUAUUGUGCUCCCGGAUGUGAUGAUAAUGGUUAUUAUAUUCAAAUCAAUUUUGGCAAUCUUAAUUAACCAAGGUGGCCAACAAUAAUGGUGUACUUAAUAAGGGUGUUUGUAUGUAUGUAAUGUAAUCUGAUCAUUCGAAAAUGACUUGAUUAAACCAGAAGAUGUACUUAUUUUAUUAGAUCAGUAUAGACCAAAUCUUGAACUUUCUAUACUGCUAAGUUGACAUAAAUUUUAUAUCAAGUCAAAAGUGUCUUGUCCUCUUAAUUAAAAUUUUAACUAAUUCCGACUAUAAUUCCCAAAAAAAUGACAUUCACAUCGCAGUUUAAUUAAUUAAGAGAGUAGAUUUACUAGCCUCACUUCAGGAUCAUCCUAUGUACGUGGAUGUGAGGACAUGGCAUUUACUUGCCUACCCAAAGAAAAUUUAAAAGAAAAAAGAAACCUGGACCAGAACAAACCGGACCGGACCAGACCAACCUCCAGUAGUGCCCUGGUCUGAAAGUUUUUUUUUUUAUAUAUAUAAUUAAAGAGUGUGCAAUAGAUGCUUGAUAAUACACUUAAUUAACAAUUGUUAUCCUACUUUAUAUUUUACAUAUAUGUGUUUUUCUUAAUUAACUUUUUACUUUUUAAAAAUAUGAACUCCUAAAUUCUAUCUUAAUGACAAUCCAUUAGGUACCACUUAAAUAUACACUAUAUAAUUUUACAAGCCCAAAACCCAAAGCGCUAAUUUUCUAACUUUUCAAAAAAAAAAAAAAACCCCCCAUCCACUCGGCCAGGUCUUUUCCCAACGAGUACUCAGGCUGCUGGCCCUAAAUUACUAACUUCAAACUCACAACAAACUUUGGCAAAUGAUGAGUUAGUUUUAAAAAUGCUUGUUUUCUUAGCUAGGUAAUUAUGGUAAUAUGCGUACAAGAACUAUUUUGUUCCUUGUUGAAAGUGGCUUUCGAAAUUAUUUUAUAAUCAUGUUACCAAUUUUAAAAAUUUUGAAGUUUUUUUAAUAACUAAAGGUAAAUAGAAGGAUUCACAUCAUUAUCCUUCCUAGUCUGGAGUUAGUUCAUCGACAUUUUUCUAUGCUGGCUUCUCACAACCACGUCCUGUCCAUCAAAAUCCUCUCAUCUAUUUCAGUUGUCAAAAAUGAGCUUGGCACUUGGCAACUGGCAGGUCAUUCCAUAUCAUAUAUACACAUUAUUUAUGUAUUCGGUGGACUUUUGUUGAUGAGAAUUCUGAACUUCGAAAAAGUGGAAUUGGUUGAGCUAGCAAACCAACCAGUAAUUCUUCCAACUUGUCCAACUACAUCUAGCCAACCAUUGCUCCCUAUAAAAACUAAAAAGCAUUACCUCCCCCUUCAACUCAAACAACAUACUAACACAUAUAUUAUUCCCCUACAAAUCCAAUUUCGAGCUUCUUCCUUCUGCGGUAUUCAAUCCAAGUACUCAAAAUGGCUACUUCUUCCAAUGUCUGCUUCUUUCUGUCUUUGCUCAUUGCUUUAUCAUUUUCGAGCAUCCAAGAAAGCCAGGCCGCUCGCCGACUAUUGCAAACUUCCCCACCAGUGAUACCAGCAAUACCAACAUUGCCUGGUACAACCCUGCCAAAUUUGCCUACCACAUUGCCACCAUUGUCAAGUACUCCUUUGCCAACAUUACCAACAAAUCUUCCAUCUUUGCCAACUAUGCCCGCAGUUCCGAAGGUGGCCCUCCCUCCCAUUCCAGCUGCAACUUCAUUGCCAAAUAUUCCAUCCACAAUUCCUCCAAUCCCAACUAAUAUCCCAACUUCAUUUCCUUCAAUUCCUUUCUUCUCACCACCGCCAUCCAACUAGACAAUUUUCGAUAUUUGAAUGUUUGAGUUUGUCAUAUCUGUUGUUCCUUCAGAUCGCUUAUCAUACGAUCGAUUUCAUGUACUAGUAAUUUUUACAGUUUCGUUAGUCCGUCUAUAUAGCUAGGGAUCUUAUGAAGUAGACGGAGUUUGGUUUGUUUUUGAGAUUGUAUUGCGAUUGUUUAUGUUAUAACUAGUUCUUAAUUGAUACCAUGUAGGAGUUUCUUGUUUGUUGUUUCUUGAUACUUUCAUUUAUUCAUCUAUCUUUCGUUGGCUUGAGGCCUUAUAUUACACCUCUCGUUACACUUUAUUAUUCCACUUUUUAAAAUGACAUGCAUCCCCACAACACAUUAAUCAAAAGAACUUGGAUUCUUAUCCAUGAUUAUAUGCAACACACGUCAAUCUAACUGUUUGUCUAAUAAGAAUAUAACAUAAAUCAGACGAUCUUUUUUAUUUUGUAAAUUACAUUCUCACGACUCAGCUAUUAUUCAUCAUAUCUAAAAAUUUAAUUUAAGGUCAAUUUUAGAAACCUUCUUUAAAGUUUUUAACGAUUUCAGGCAGUGCUCUCUUGUAAUUUGGAUAAUUAAACCCACCUACAUUGCUAACUUGAAUUGAGUAUCAUAACCCUUUUCUAAGAUACAGGCUGUUUACAAAAUAAAAAACCAGAAAAUUAUUCACCCAAAUUCCCCAACCCUCCCCGUUUUCUUGUCAGCACUAUGGUACUUUUAUCCAUUUUUACCACCGUCACCACCAUCAUUGCCAAAAGCAUGGCAAACAGAUGCUUCUCAAAUUACCUGCCCAAAAAAAAAAAAAAAUUUCUAAUGAGAUGCUGCAACACCACGCAAGCCAUAAUCUACCAGCCCAAAAACCUCAACAAAAAAAAAAAAAAAAAACCACACACACGAGAUGCUCCUUCUUUGCCAUCAAGCAUAUCUGCCCAAAUCCUUUGUUACUUUGGUUUCCUCAACCAAUAUACCUCAAUCCCUCCCCUCUCUCAAAUAACAUCUCAAAAGUAAUGGAGUCAGCUCCAGUCCCAAGGGGUAUACUUCUUUCUUUAGUUAUUCAUGGUGGAAAUAUGCUGCUUUAGGUCUUUAAUCUCAAUCAAUGUCCACAAUAGGUAUAGACGACAGACAACCAAGCUAUGCUGGUUUCAGCAAUUUGAUACAGACGUCCAAAAAAUAAAACAAAAAAGUAUUAAUAUGGAUAUAAUAAUUGCAAACUCCAAAUUACUAAAAUGUCAGCGUUUAGCCAAAUGUAUGAUCCCACACUUGGAUUCAAUAUAUAUAUAUAUAUAUUUAUUAGGUCGCUUGGUUUCAAUUUCUCCAAGCUUAUAUGAUCAUACACUUUGUUUGAGUUUCUUUAAGCUCUAUCUGUCUUUGGUAUACGGUUAAAGGCUUAAUGCUUUGUUAGGAGCCUUAAGUUUGUCUGUUUAGGUACAUGGUUUAUUGGAACUUUAGUUGCUGUAGCCUAAAUUCCUUUUAGUAAAGAUUAAAUUAAUGGUGGGAUCGUAGUAGAAGUAAAAAAAAAAAAAAAAAAAAAAAAAAAAAAAAAAAAAAAAAAAAAAACCCUGGACUAGGAUUAUAUUUUGUGGUAAGCACUUUUUGAUACGUUUGUGUAUCAUAAAGUAUCAUCAAAUGUGGAAAUCUUAAUUACUCAUAUUCUGAGACCGAACAAACAAAAAAGAUAAUCUGAAUCAGAAACUUGUGCUUGUGAUUCGUGAACAUCCGUCAUCUUACUCUAUUAAUUUGGUCUCCAGCGGUUGUAUUACUCUUUGGUUUUGAUUUUAUCUGGUUGUACUUUUGGUCAAGCAGUGACUUGUUGAAACUGGCCAAUGAAUUGGAAAAAAAAAAAAAAAAUCAAAAGCGAAGCGGUUUGUUCAAUUUUCGUGUGUUUUCUUUACAUUAAAUUUAUUCACAUAUUAACAUUAUAUGGUUUCUUGUGGAUUAAGUUCCUAACGUGAGAUUCUGCCCGCUAUGGAAACUUUUAUAUUGUACCGAAUUUGAAAGACCUAUUUGGCACAUUCUCGAUCAAUCCUCAUUUGUCGAAUCCAUUUCCAGUUUGAGUUUAUCCCCUAUAAAUUCACCUGAAAUAGACUAGUUUCAUGCAUACAGAAAUUAGUUUCUACUGCUCAUCAACGACAGUGGAUACUAGAUGGAGAAGGCUUCAAUCAAGCCCGCUCUCUUAUUUGCUCUCUUCAUUCUUCCAAUUUGUGAGUUUCUCUAGGAUUCUUACCUCAGAACUUGAAGUCACGGGUUCAAAAUCCACACUUUUAUUUCCCCUACUAAAACAUUGUUCCUUUUCCAUUUAAAGAAAAAAGCACAGGUAAAAAGACCCUUUUUCAUCUAACAAAACCUUUUUUCCCCUAAUGUGAUUUAAUUGCAGUAUUAUCUUUUCCAGUGAUGAAAGCCAUGGAAGUGAAAAUCACUGGCAACAAGCAUCUCAAGAAAACUUCAGCAGGAUUGUGCAAUUCCUUGUGGCUCUGAUGCGGAUUGCACAUGCAUAGGUUUUAGUUGUGCUCUGACUCCCAUAGAGGGAUGUGACGAUAAUGGUAAUUGUAUUCAAGUUAGUCGUUGCCUGGACGAAAUUCAAGCAUUGUGGCAAACGAUAAGAGGCGUGUAAUACAAUUAUUUUAAAGGUUUGGUGCACUGGUUACUGGUUUCUUUGGUAGUAAGAGUUUGUUUGUAAUAAAAAUAGUAGGAUGAGAUUUUUUUUUUUUCCGAACGUAAAAAGGGAUUUUAUUGAAUAGAACAUGAAUGUACACAAGUGCAGAGGUAUUCGCUACACAAAAGUACUACUAAAACCAAUUAAGCUAUACAAUAGUACUGCUACAAUGAACUAAACUCCGAUUAUGCUAUCAACAUUUAAGAAAAAUGCCUUGGGGAAAUCCCAACUAAAGCAAAAUAACCAGUUGUCUCUUGUACUCGAUACAUUCCUCCAUUAUGCCACAUAAGAGCGAAUCUCCUUCCAUAUAUAAUAUACAACUGCCUCUAGUGCCAACUUUUUUACUGUGUUUAUAAAGCAUUCUUUCUUCCAAUGACAACUGAGACAUUUAACUUCAGUAUGCCAUUCAUAAGUUCCGCGUAUUGCAAGUGGGGCAUUGCUGUAUUCUUGACCAAAUAUAAGUUGCAUACUCACAUUAAAAAAAGAGAUGAUUACAAGAUUCAUUUCCAGUAUAGCAUAAUACACAUCUCAUUUCAGACAUAAUGCCCCACUUAACCAACCUGUCCUUUGUGCUUAAUUUGUUCUUGCACAACAACUACAAGAUAAAUGAAUGUUUUGGAUAUAUUUUUUGAAGCACACAAGAUGAUGCCAAUAGACCUCAGUAGCGAAAUGGUUCAACCCUUCAUUUUCAGAUUUGACAGAGAACAAACCUAAUUUACUGGGCAGCCAUUUCACUAUAUUUGACAUUCCCUCGCUUAGUAACUAUCUAGAAGGAAGAAAUUGUGCAAAAUCAUCUACUUCAACAGGUCUCCUCCUACCAGCAGGGAUCUUCCACUCUCUAUUUUCAAUGAUAGAAAAAACCUUAGCUUGUGGCGUACUUCCAAACUAUCGCACCAUAUUGGGCCCAUAAGCUGUGAAUAAUGGCCCUCUAUGGUGCCUAUUAUCAUACCAAAGAAGUAUUUUCUCCACUUUUGAUCACUGAGACAAUAAAGGGCUGUAUAAUAGGUCUGAUUUGAAGGAGUUUAUGCCAAACCCAAGAACAAAAUUGAGGCAAUGAAAUAGACCAGAAACAUUUAUUUUUGAGUUUCACAAUGUGAACCCAAGCAAUCCAAAGAGAAUCCUUUUUAAGUGUUAUGUGCCAGAUACGUUUAAACAAUAAAACCUUAUUCCAAUUAGUCAAAUUAGGUAAUCCAUGUUCUCCUUGUUUGAUAGUAGGAUGAGAUUGUUGGUGUGUUAGUUACUCAUUGUCAAUGUAUGGAUUUACUUCUGGUCUAGAUUGAACCAGAAGAUGUUCUCUUUCUAUUUAAUCAGUAUAGACCAAAUCUUGGUAAUUUCUAUAUUUCUUGGUUCACAUAAAUGUUGUAUUGAGUUCGAUACCCAUGAUACGAGACUGACCUGCUGGAGUAAUGAUGGAUUGUAGAUUAUUUGUGAUCCAAGAUCAUCCAAAAAGCAAACUGAAACAACCUUAGUGGCCCAAAAAUUUUUUUUUUAAAUAAUAAAACGAGGUUGCAAAAUUUCAGAUAAUAAAACAGAAAUUUGCUACUUCUCAGUCGAACAAGAUUGUUAAUUAACCUUAGAAGCCCAUAAUACAAAUUGCCAAUUUUUUGAAACCCAUUCUUUCUAUGAACUUUUCCUAACUUGUACUCGCUCUUCCAAACUUGGAUUACCAAUUCAAAUUUGCGGUCUAAAUUCCAUCCCAGGUAGAACACAUGUACUUAUUAUUUACUUGGUAGAUUUUUUGUUGAGGAAUCUGAGUUUCUAAUAAGUGAGUUUAGUUGAGAAGGCAAACCAACCAAUGCUUCUUCAAACUUGUCCAACUACAUCUGACCAACCAUUGCUUCCUAUAAAAAGCAUCAUCUACCUGCUCAUCCCCUACGGAUUCAAUUUGAAGCUUCUACCUUCUACAUUAAUCAAACAAGUGCUCAAAAUGGCUACUUCUUCCAAUGUUUGCUUCUUUCUAGCUUUCCUCAUUGCUUUAUCAUUUUCGAGCAUCCAAGAAAGCCAGGCGGCUCGCCAACUAUUGCAAACUUCCCCACCAGUGAUACCAGCAAUACCAACAUUGCCUGGUACAACCCUGCCAAAUUUGCCUACCACAUUGCCACCAUUAUCAAGUACUCCUUUGCCAACAUUACCAACAAAUCUUCCACCUUUGCCAAAGCCCACAUUGCCAACUAUGCCCACAAUUCCUAAGGUGGCCCUCCCUCCCAUUCCAGCUGCAACUUCAUUGCCAAACAUUCCAUUCACAAUUCCUUCUAUCCCAAAUAAUAUGCCAACUUCGAUUCCUACAAUUCCAUUCUUCUCUCCACCGCCAUCCAACUAGACCAUGUUAGACAUGAACACGAUUCAGUGUUUGAAUUUGCAUAUUUGUCGUUCCUUCAGAUUGCUUAUUGAUACGAUUUCUUGUACUUGAAAUUUUUACAGUUUUAUUAGUCCGUCUAGCUAGGGAUCUUAUGAAGUAGGCGGAGUUUGGAUUUCAUGUGAUUGUUUCCUUUGGUGGGUUGUAGUCCCCGUAUUGUGCCUUGGACAUUGUAUUCCGAUUGUUUAUGUUAUGAAUUAUGAUGAGUUCUCUGAUACUAUGAACGAGCAACUUUUUUACUUAUGUUUGUUUCUUUUGCCAACUCUAAACAUUACUUUAAGUCAUAGAUACGAAUGUGGGAUACAAAAGUUUAGUUUUGGGAUCUACAGCAACCGUUAUACCAGAAUACAUCUACGCUUAAAAUGGUGUACUCCCAAAAAAAAAAAAAGGAAGUCUUGGGAUGGACAUAAUGAAGAGUUUCAAUAUGUAAGUUCUAUCAUCUGCACAAAUAAAUUGGAAAUUCAUGAUGUGUUAAUGUACAAACAUUUGGGAAAAUGUUGCGGAAUUUGAACUAGUUUCAUAUAUAGGUGUAUUUUUUUUUUUAAAGAAUGAAAAUUCUAUCCAAUAAAGACUACAUUCACUUCACAAAAAAAAAAAAAAAAAAAAAACAAAGAUUAGAUUCACCAGCUGUCUAAAGUUUCAACUUAAAAAAAAAACUUAAAAGUCUUUGAUGAUUAAUUACCUUAUUAAGUCUCUCUUGCCAAUAAAAUCUUGAUUUAGUAGUGAAACAACACUACUAAACCACUUGCAUUAAGAGCUGAAUUCAUCCGAACAACCCAAAAGAUUCGUUUUAAAGAGAUAAAUAACAUAUUUUUCCAAAAAAGAAAAAAAAAAGUGAUGCCAUAGCAAAAGCGUGAAAAAUAAAGGGGUUACACGAACACCCUCCAUCAGAAAAUUAUUACACAAAUGAAAUCUAGGUAUGAAUCAGUGAUUCAUAAGAAAUGUGAGAUAACUUUCAACAAUUAGAAUAUCCAAUUAAAAUUUCAUUAAUAGUUGAUAAAAGACUUGUUACAAAAGUCCUGGAAAAAACCUAUUUAUAAACUACAAAAGUUUAACCUAAAAAGAAAACAAAACACACGAAAAACUCUAAAACAACUAAAAGAUGCGUUGCAGCCGUGAUGACCCUUCAGAUAUAUUUAGUAACACUAGAUUUUUUGUUUUUUUUUUUGGGGUAAGUUCGGGUAACAUGAUUUUGCUUCUUAGCUAGAAGUGACGGGUUCAAAUCUAUACUUCCUUUCUUCUUUCAACACAUUUUUUUAAAAAAAAAAAAAGGACUGGUAAAAAGGCUUUUCAUCUGACGAUUUUUUUUGGGAUUUAAUUGCAGUAUUGUCAUCGCCAAUGGUUCAAGGGAUGGACGUGAAAAUGGCCACAAUUAUCUCAAGAAAAUUACUUCAGACUGAAUGCGAAGUUCCGCUGAAGACGAUUGAACAUGCAGUAAUCACUCUUGUUGUUGACAACCCAAUAUGCGAAGAUGAUGAUGAUUGCGAUGCAGUAUUCAAAAAAAAAAAAAAAAAAAAGUAUGCCAGCAUAUGUGUAGCCUCAAACCCUGAAGUGAUUGUUCGAGAUAAUUCAUGGUUGGAACUUGGAAUCGAAACGCGAGAUCUGCUUUCUCUACAUGAAAAAUCUAAAUAAAAUCCUCAAUUUCGACAUAUUUCGAAGUUCAGAUAAAUGUUUGAUAAGUCAAAUGUUGUACCUUGCAUCUUGUGACCAAGUCUGUAAUGCAAAUAAUAGGAAAUAAACCAAAGUGCAUUGCAGUACAAGGACUGCUCAUGUCUGUUUGUAGUUUAAUUUGAAUAUUUCGUGCAAGUUAUAUAUAUGUACGUUCUCGAAAUUAUUUCCAUGGAAUGUCGCUCAUGCUUUGAUUUGACCAUUAAUCCCUUUCAUUUUUAUUAUUUGUAGUAGUAUUAAUACAAGGAUUUUUACUUCGACUAAAUAAUAGGAGAUUAGUAUGAAAUGAGAAGCUCUCAAGAUACAGAUCGAGGGAUAAUAUCCUGCAAACACUAGAUUAGUACAUGAAAUAUAAAUUGCUUGUUUGAUUCCUUCACGACUUUUAGGUCUACCAGAAAUUUAUACCAAGAAUUUUAUACAGAGGGAUAUUUAUGUUUUGAUACCAAGAAAUGCACUGGCACUAAUUAGUGUACCAAUUUUGGUUAUUUAUGCAAGCCUUGGAAGUAGGCUUGGAUCGAUCAUUUCAAAGAUUUGGUCUAAUGCUUUAUUGGUUUGUUUAUCAAAUGAGGACAAUCUAGUAUGAGACUGCUUGUGGUAGUAUGAGAAUGUUUUGUAAAGACAAUCUAUGAUGAGAUUAUUGGUGUUUUUUACUGCUCAUAUCAAAUGUUGAAAUUAAGAUUAUAGAGAUGGACUGAUAUGAUCAUUAAAAAAUAAUUUCUGUUCUAGAUUGAACCGAGACAUGUACUCUUUCCCCUACCUCUUUUAAAUUCCAACCUUCCCUUAUUAUAAAAAAAAUUAAAAAUAAAUAGAAAAGUAAGCUGUUUUUUUUUUUAAGAGGACAACUUCACAUCACAAAUACAGUUGAACUACUCUUUUUUUUUUUCUUCUCCUUGUCAAGUGUUGGCCAGGUCUGGCCUCAGUAUCGCUGCUGUUCGAUUGGAUUUUCCUCUCAAGUUCCUCUCCUGUAUUGACCUUACCCCAUAUCAGAUUCUGUGAGGGAAUUCUUAAUAAUGUUGAUGCAAUCGAAUCGACCAAGUGUACACUUGCACACCAUAAACUGUUGGUGGUUCAUCAGCAUUCUAAUUCCAAACUAAUUCAAAGUUUAGUUGAGAAAGGCCAACUAAACCUAAUUCUACUAAUCCAACUACAUUCGAUCAAACACUUUCACCUCUAUGGCUAUCUAUAAAUAAGAGUCAAGAAACAAUAUGCGAGUCCCUCAACUCAAAACCAGAAAAAAUACCCAUCUUGUACUUGUCGUAACACUUAAAAAAGUGUUUGCUAAUUUCUAAAUUCCAAUACAAUAUCAUUUACCAAUGGCUGCUUCUUCCAAAGUUUGCUUUGUUCUAUCCUUGAUCCUAGCUUUAUCAUUUUCAAGCAUCAAGGUUUCUAACGCAGCUCGCUACCUUCUGCAGACGACGCCAGGAAUACCUACAAUGCCAUCGUUGCCCAAGUUGCCUCCAUUGCCUACCAUGCCAAGCUUCCCUACAGCCACAUUGCCACCAUUGCCAGCUACCCCUUUGCCCACAUUACCCACAAAUCUUCCAUCACUGCCAAAGCCCACAUUUCCGCCAUUGCCAAGCACUCAGCUUCCAACUUUGCCUUCCAUUCCAUCUAUUCCUACUACAAUUCCUACUUUACCUUUCCCCUCACCACCACCAUCAAGCUAGACAUUGAAAACGAAGCACUUCGAUUAUUUAUCAUCAUUUCUUUACUGGGAAGUCUCGAAAUCCAUGAAGAUUAGCGAUCAUUUCUUUUUUUUUUUUUUUUUUUUUUUGGUGGCUCCAGCCAUAGUCGAAUGUUACUCAUACUAUGAUUGCGUUGCUGUAUCUUUGUUCUUCAUACUAUGAUUGUAUUAUUGGAUCUCUGCUACUCAUACUAUGAUCGUAUUAUUUGAACCUUUCUUUCACGGGGUCUGAGUAUCUGGUUAAGAUUUGACAGACAGCCAUCAGAAAUCUUAUCUCAACAACAUAAAAGCGGCUCUUUGGUUACAUUCUUUGAAUUAAUUGAUUUUUUUCUGAAAGACGAAAAUAAAAUGCGAAUCUAAGGCUGCGAACGAAAACACAAACGACUACUGGCAAAACGCGAUUCUGUUAGAUGAUAUUGCUUUCAGGAAAAUAUAUAUAUAUAUAUAUAUAUUGGUUUCCGGGUGAAAAAAAGAAAGUUCCAGACAAAAGCACUGAAAUAUCACCGACAACUGUAUACUGGGCCAGCAGCAAUUCAGUCCUUUUACAAUCCAAGCAUUCCGGUGCAACAUACUUGUCUAGAUUGAAAUCAGGCUUCAUGUCAAAGUUGAUGGAACUUCAUCUUGGAAACCCCAAAAAAAAAAUUUUUUUUUGAGAGAUAGACAAGCAAAACAUGAGAGGAUUUACUUUUCGCGCACUUUUAUAGUCUGGAUGUAAAUCUUGUCAUCACAUCUUUGAUAAGUAUCCGGGAUAGCUGUUUAUAUCACAGUAGUUAAUUGAAAACAGAUUAAAAUUUUUUAUGUUUUUUGGUUUAAAUGAGAAUUUUGUUCACCAGUUAAUAUACACAUGCCGCGUGUUCAAGCAAUGACGAGUUUGGAUCCUCUUAAUUGGUGUAACUUCCAGAGCUGUUAGGUCGUAGUUGUGCAAGCAACUCAUUAACAUAUUUAAAUAUGUUGAACACUUCAACGAUUUUUAUAUAAUUUAUUAGGAUAUGGUACAUGUAUUGUGUGAUUUGAUAUUAUCAGACUCGAUUUUUACAUAAUAUGAUAUGGUAUGCAUUUACAUAAGUUAUUGCACUGAAUUUCUUAGCAGAUGGAGUGCAAAAGAACAAAACGUACAGAAAAAAUAAAAUAUGGCUCGCAUGACGUAAAUUUGCAUCAAAAUAUGUAACAAAUACAAUUGUAUAGAACUGCACCUACCGCAAUGGGACUUGCCUCAUUUCCAUUUUAUCUGCAUCAGAAAGGAGCUAUAAAAAAUGCUAAACUAUUAUUAGCAAGUUUCGCAACUCAUCCAAAGAAAUCCAAACGGAUGUACAUCAUCCUUUGAAUUUUUGGUCUUAACUUUCCCAUUAUGGUAUGUGUGUGUUUGAAAAGUAAAAGCUGAAAACAAGAGGGGACUUUGAAGCAGCUGACGAGUUCCAUGCGAUGUACUGUUACCAUUGCGAAAUCAGUUUCCAGGUGUACACUACUUUUGCUACCUGUCACCAUUUCAGCCCCUUCACCAUGAAAUUUUUCCAGAUCACAUGUCAAAAACUCAUCUAAAACCUGAGAAACCAUAAGUCCAGAUUGAGAAAAUGCCAAGAACCCACCGCACUGCAAUUUUCUACUGAUAAUCUAGACACCAACGUCAUACUCUAAUCAAUGUAUCAUGCUCUUCAAGCACAUAUCAUGAAAUCCUUCUGGUUUCCUUCACUAUAAAUAGAGCUUGAAUGAACUAGUAUUUUCCUAACAUCUUCAGUUUCUCUUUUGUAAGCCAGAAAGCACAGGAAAAAUGAAGUCCGGAGCGUUUAUUUUGGUUGCACUUCUAUGUGCUCUAUUUCUUCUCGUUUCUUCCACUAUGGCUGUUGAUUCACCCAAGGAUGGAACAAAGGGUAAGAAAAUACUAGUACCAAGUAGCUAUGUUUAUGUUUUUGCAAGAUUUCCAUCGGUCAUUAACUUGAUUUUCUUAUUUUUCAAUAGAUAUAUCAUACGAUCUCCGUUAAUGAAUAGUAUGGAUAAUAGGAUGAAUUACAAAAGUUUGACUGGUUGACAAUUUUUGUUUGCAGAGGACAAGGCAAAGGAACCCGAACAAUAUGGAGGUCGGUGUAGGUUUGGCUGCUGUGGUCGUUUGGGCCCCUAUGGUUGUAGUAGGUGUUGCAGAACAGGUAAUAGUUGUACCAUUUAAAGAAACAGGAUUUAAAUGGAUAUAAAAUCGCACCUAGCUAACACAAUCAUACCCAGUCCCAUUUGAUUGACAUCAAAAAAGAGCUAUUGAAAAGCCUGAACUAUUAUUAGCUAUUUCACUACUCAUCCAAAUAAACCCGAACGGAUGUACUUUUGUCUCAACUUUUCCCGUUAUACGGUUAUAGUAUGUGUGUGUUUCAAAAGUAAAAGCUGAAAACGAGAGUUGACUUCGAAGCACCUGACAAGUUCCAUGCGUGCAGUUGCUAAGACAACCUCGUAAUAUAGUGUUACCACUGCGAAAUCAGUUUCCUGGUGUACGCUACGCUAUUCUUGCCACCUGUCGCAAUUUAAGCCCUUUAACUAUAUAUUUCUUCCAGAUCACAUCUUGAAAACUCAUCUAAGAACUUAGAAACUGCAUUCCAGAUUGAGAAAAGUCCAAGAACCCAGCGUACUGCAUUUUGUACGCACUGAUAAUAUAGAACAACGUCGUAUCCUCAUCAAAGUAUCUUGCUCUCAUGCACGUAUCAUUAUAUCCCUCUAGUUUCAUUCACUAUAAAUAGUGCUUAAAAUGGACUAGCAUUGCCACAACGUCUACAGUUUCUCUUGUGUAAACCAGAAGCUUAAAAAAAAUGAAGUCCAGAGCGUUUAUAUUAGUUGCUCUUCUAUGUGCUCUAUCUCUUCUUGUUUUUGCUACUAUGGUCUGCUGAUAACCCAAAAGAUGAAACAAAGGGGUAAGUGCAUCCCAAUAUUUAGUAGCUAUUGCAUGUGGCCUUGCUAUGCCUGUAUAUACUUCUGUUGUAUUUCCUUAAACUUUUGCCUAUACUAUCAUUUCAAUCAUUAAAUGUUACUUGAUUUUCUUAUUUUAGAACCACGAUUCAAUUAUUUAUAUUCACUUUUAAUUACAAAAUUGAAUUUUAUUGUCUUUCAAUGGAAUUAUCAUCUGAUAUAUGUAAGUUAUUAGUGUAAAUUAUGGGAUGAAUUACAAAAAUUUGUGUGGUUGACGGCCGUUGUUUGCAGAGAACGACGCGAAGGAGAACGAGGCUAAGGAACCCGAACAAUAUGGAGGUCCGUGUAGAUAUGGCUGCUGUGGUCGUCGGGGCCCCUAUGGUUGUAGUAGGUGUUGCAGAACAGGUAAUAGUUGCACCAUUCAAAGAAACAGGAUUUAAAUGCAUGAACAGUACUUGUAACUUAAAAAGUUGUGUUGUCCACUCCAUGUAGCUAAUGAAGCUGAAGCAACCCAAGUAAACGCUGACAUCAAUAGCAAUGAAGGCGGUGGACAUGGUGGUGGCGGCGGCUAUGGAGGUGGUGGUGGCGGCCAUGGAGGUGGCUAUGGAGGCGGCGGCGGUGGUGGCUAUGGAGGUGGUCAUGGUGGGGGAGGUGGUCAUGGUGGUGGAGGUGGAUAUGGUGGGCACUGCAGCUACGGCUGUUGUGGUGGCUAUGGCAAAUAUUGCAGGUGCUGCUACAACCCUGAAGAAGCUCAAGCUUUGGUACAAAAUGAGAACUGAGCCAAGCCAUAAAUCAAGGAAACUUCCAUGUACAACUUAGUUUGCAUGAAUAACUACAUGGUUGAAUGUUGAUCUUAUGACAAAAAUAAAAUACUUAGUACAUGUGCUUCUGUACUUAGCACAUAUGCAAGGAAUAAAAAGUUUCAGUCAUCAUUUGAUGAUGUGAAUUUCAAGUGUCCUUCAAUCCCAUGCCUGGAUUUCUUUUCUUUUUUUUUAAUUUGACAUCUGCUACUUGUCAUGUUCGUCUUUGCUCUUAACAUUUGCACUUUGCACUUGAAUGCUCCAAUCAAAAUUUAAGUAACUUUGCGAAAUAAAUAAAACAAUUCAUAAAAUUAUGCCAAAAGAACUAACUUAAGAAGGCACAUCAAGAAGAGAAUGUUUUGAGUUCCAAACACACAGUUAGUUAUAGACAAACAUUUUCACAAAUCCAUGCACAAUUUAAAGUUUAAAUUGCUCAACAUCUCAAUUAUGUGUCAGUUAGGGAUAGGAAGGGCAUUGUGUAGAAUAAUCUCUUUUGACUCUGUUAACAAAAUAAAUGGCUUGAUUUGCAUGACAAAUCAUGUUCAUAUGCAAUACAAAACACUACUACAAAUUGGCCAUUAAGAUUAUUUUAUUAACAACAGCAAACCAUUCAAAAACCAAACCUAUUAUUAGGAAGCUUCAUAAAGUCAUCCCAAGGAAAAACAACCAAACGAGUCUACUUCAUCUAAUGGAAUUUUUUGUUUUGUUUUGUUUUGGGUGACAUUUCUCGAUUUAGUAUGUUGAGCAUGCAAAACAGAGUGUACCGUUCAAGGAUUGACUUCCAAGCAGCUGACACAAGUCCCAUGCAUGCAUUACACGGAAACCCUCGUAACACAAGCCUACCAGAAUUUAUUUCUAGGUGUUGAUUACUCAAGAACCCUGCCAAAUUGAUAUAUGCUAGCUGCCACGAAUUCAGCCUCUUCUGAAUCAAAUUGUUUACAAAUAGGCCAAAUUGAUAUAUAUGCUAGCAUCAGCAUCAUCCGGGUUAGUUUUUAGAUGGGGGUAGCGAGAAGGAAAGAAAUCUUGGCAAUUACAUGGAAUGGUUGGUAAGGAAUGGAAAGAAUAGCGGUCGGGAUGUUAGGCACUUUAGGCAGACAGCAAGGGAGGCAGUGUCAAUUUCACAGUUGCAGGCACGUUAGGCAUGGAUGGCAAUGUGCUGGAAAAUGCUGGCUCUGUGGGCUUUGGCAGGGUACGUAUUCAUGCCACUGAUGGAGGCAAUGUAGUUGCAGGAAUUGCGGGCUUUGUGGGCUAUAACCAUAUAGAGUUGUAAGUAAUUUCUCACAGUAAAUGUUCUGCUUGUUCGUGGAAACAAGAGAACUAAAGCAUCAUCAGGUUUGACAAAUGCAAGUGCACAUCUUUGGACUUGGGAGUUGGGAGGACUCGGGAGCUAAUACCUACAUAGAAAAUGGGCGAUGGAUGAAGAAAGGUGCAACGGACUUUUUAUGUCCUCCAAUGUGGGUGGCAGAAUACACUUUCCUUGAAGUUGAUCAGCGAGAUUACUUUUGUGAUUGCUGAAAUUCAUGACAAAACGGUUCAACAUCUUCAAUCACAAAUUCGUCGAACUGCAAUUAUAAUCUCAUUGGACCAAACUCGAGUAAGCAAAUCAAAUCAAAUCGCUAAUGUCACUUCUUCCAAGUAGCGCUGACAUUCUAAGAUUGACAAGGAAAUGCAGGCUUUGACUCAUCAUUUACUUAAAGCAGGAUACAACAGCAAAAGAAAUCCAGAAGCAAAGAAUAUGAAACUAACCUGAAAACAAAGAUUUAGUAUUUCACAUUUAGAACAGUUACACGCAAAUCAAAAACAUUUUUGCUGCAUUGGGUCGGUGAACAUCCGUACAAGCAUGUGUUACAACAAGAUAUAUACAGUCUCAGGAGUAAUGCUACUAAAGUUUGAUGCCCGAUGCUGUCAGAAGAUAAAAUGGAACUCAGACACGUCGCUGAAGACUGGAGAGUCACUCAUCACUCAAACGGUGGUCUUCUUAGACAAAGAAACACCAUUAUCACAGCUGUUUAAGUAAAAUCCAACAGUCAAAGGCAACCAAAAAUAGUUAAAAUGAGGCAUAAAAUAAAUAGAUUUCACAUCAGACUUCAACGACACUACUUGUAAGCUUACAUUUCUGCAAAAGUGACUUAAGAAAGGGUGCCGGAUGAUAUGUUUGAGAAACCAAAGAUUGCAUUAGUUAAAUCCACAUUCAAAUGCACAUUAUAUACUUAGCCAGUCGUAUUGACCAUCCCAAUUAGUCAUGAGAUACAACUCAAGGCUGAUUAUCAAAUCAAAAGGAGUGGUUUGAAAACACAAAAUUUGGAAAAGAUGGCCAAUGGAAAUGUGGUUACAAGUACAAUUGAAUAUGAGAAACAUAACGAACUUGAUAGAUCUUCCUGCUGAAGUUAUUUGCUUUUCUUUUAAUUAGUUCAUAAAAUGUUAUUCGACUAUAAUAGUCAGCAGAAAGACAUCCAGAAAUUUUCUCACUCCAUAAUUGAAUUUAAGAAAAGAAAUUUAUACUAUAAGUUAAGUCUACGCCAAUGAACAAGUUGCACAAAAAUAGUUCUUAAAUAACUGAAACACGGCAAGAUAUGAAAUACACCGGACUUGCAAGUAAGCUUAGUCAAAUUUAAACAAGAAGAAGCAUCAGAUAAACAAAAUUGUUUAAUAGUAAGAGGCAAAGGAAAGAAUAUUACCCAUGAUACGAGCCUUAAGGGUGAUAAGGUUGCAGUCUCUUCAGAAAAAGGGUCAUACUAAAGAACCAGAAGAGUUCUUAAGCCUUGUCUUAGCGCUUGAAGAAAACAAUAUCUCUGCUGCAGCUAACUUUGAUAGCUUCCUCCAAACUCUCCAUCUGAUCAAAAUCAACUUUAAAAGUUACCAUGGUAACACCAUCUUUUCCAGUGUCAUAAUCUUGCUUAAUGUCUUCAGCCCGAAAUGAUUGUAACUGCAAGAUACACAAAUGGUGUAUUUGUGAGACAACUUUUACGAUGUUGAGAUGCACAAAUCACAACCUCAUCAAGCAAGUAAAUGCAUUGAUGACAUUUAGCAAAAUGGUAAUACAUGAAAAACUGACGUAUGCUCCACAUGUCAAAAUGACAAUCGAAACUUGAUUCGUCAUGAUAAUAUUUGACAGCUAAUUAGCCAGCAACACAACCAGAAGAGAACUUAUAAAUCCUCUGAAUCUUACCUGAUGGUAGAGAACCCCCAAAAGGUCAUAUGGAAUCUCCAAGCCCAUUGGAACCUACAAAUCAAGAUCCUUGUCACAAUAUUUAAUUCAUGAAGCAGAUUUCAGUGUGCAAAGUACGAAGUGGAAAAGAAACUUAUAGAAUUAGACUACUAUUGAUUCAAUAGGCACAUGUUUUAGAGAAUGUAAAAGCCAGCAAGGAUGAGUUGUUACUUUGGACUUGACAAGACAAGUGGGGGCAUUUCUCAAACAAUCAGCGGCAACCCCUCCAUAAGCCCUGACUAAACCUCCAGUGCCAAGUUUAAUACCUCCGAAGUACCUAAAUUAUGAAAUGCAAAAAGAUGAACAUCUUGAAUAGCUUCUCUCCCUAGAUAGAAAAGCCAAAUGACAGAUUAAUGAAUGUCAAAAACUUAAUGCAUGUAUCAAACAAUGAAAAUGGUUACGUAAAAAACAACAUUCUCUACAUUUCAUUCACAAAAGAAACAUUUGAAUCAGAACCAAAGGGAAAAAAGCAAUAGCAUGGCCCCAAAAAUGUGCAACAUUGUCUACCUGAUCACGACUACCAUAACUCUAUCAAUCCCAGAAGAUUCAAUUGCAGAAAGUAUUGGCUUGCCAGCAGUACCAGAUGGUUCACCGUCAUCAUUACUCCGAAACUGAUCCCCAACCUAGAAUUCACAAAUAACUGCAUUUGCAUCGAAAACAACCAAAAAAAAAAAUGGGGCAAAAAGAAAUAAAAGCCUCAUAAUUGAUUCAAAGUACUCCAAGAAUCACUAAUAACUAUCAUACCGGAAAAAUAUCAAAUUUUGUACUUUAUAUGCCCAACAAUUAUGUGUAGCCUUGGGGUCACGAACCUUAUUUCCAAACAAAACAAAAAAUCAGUCUUUAAUGGCAAAAAAAAAAAAACAGAAGCAAAAUGCAAGAAAGAAGAGGGACAGGAGUGAUUAUUAAUACCUCAGUGAGGAAGGCCUGAGCAGAGCGUUCAUUAGAGAUGGUGCCAGCAAUGGCGAUAAAUUUACUCUUCUUUAUCUCUUUCUGAAAUGUGACCCUUUCUUUAAUUGUGGUAAAGGCACCACCUUUAUGAUUAUUAUUGGGAUUAGAAUCAGAAGCAGUGAUGCUAUUGCUGCUAAUGGUGGCCAUUGGCGUCAGAUAAAUACAGGGUUUUGUCAGAAUUACGGAGAAUGAGGGAAGAAAAGGGUGAUACUUAUUAUGGAGAUUGUGAUGGAGAAGAAGGGAUUUGUUCAGAUUUUUCAAAGGGGUUGAGAGAAUCAGCAUAGAAGCAGCCACCUGCAUCAGCAAAAACCUUCCAUCUAAAACGUUGUCGUGAAUGGUGGAAUUCGAUUAAGGUUUCGUUCUUUGUUUUUUAUGCUCAAUUUUGAGGACAGAAAAAUAUGCGAGCAACAAAAUAGUCUUUAGGAUUAUAUAGCACACUUUUAAAAUAUGCAAGCAACAAAAUAUUCCUUAGAAACAUUGGAGGCGUGGAACUCUAGGGUAUUAUAUAGCACGCUUUAGAGGGUGCAAAAAGAUGGGAGCCUUUCAACUGAACAGAAAGACAAAAGAAAAGGGGAAAAAAAAAAAAAGUUACCCCACAUUUGUGAUUUGGUACAAAAAAUGACUCCAGUAGACAAAUUUUGGAAAAUGCAUUUCCAUCCAUUAAAAAGUAAUUUUAAGAAGUUAGCCUAGAGUGACAUUUGCAUAAUUUGGCUUAAAUACCUACAUUUUGAGAAAAAGUAUAACAUAUUUUCCUUGAAAAAUGUUGUUCGCACCAUAAUAUCUAUUAAUUACACUCCUAUUAUUAUUUUAAUCAUAUAAUUUUUCGAUUGUUAGAGUAUAUAAUAAAAUAAAUUAUGAUAGUGCAAGUAACAAAAAAAGAAGUACAAAUAACAUUUCUCUUCUCCUUUUGCUCAAGUUAUGCAAGUAGUACUAUUUCCUCUGUCAACGAGCAAUUCUUAGGUUUUUUAAUGAAGGACAACAAAAGUAUGAAAAUACAUAUUCAAAUGAUGUCCAUGCCAAAAUAAGAAGACCACCAUGCAAAGAAAUAUGUUAUUGUGAAAUUUAAUAUUAAAUUAUCAAGGUUACUGCAAAAUAAAAUGUAAAAGAUCAAUAUGAUGUUAAGAGAUGUGAUUCGCUAACUAAGGUUUUUUCAUGAUUAAAUUGGAUUGGCACUCCUCAAAAAUGCCCUUUUUCAAUCCAAAAGUCUCAUACUAAAUAUGAAAAUCAAAUAAACAAACUAAGAUGGCCUUUUCAUUCGAACCUUCAUUUUGUACUAAACAUAGAACUAGAAAUAAGUUAUAAAAACAUGAUCUAUUCAAGUUUAUGUGAAAAAAGUAAAUUUUUCACAAAAAAGAUUUGCACGUACUGAUGAGCAAAUAUAAGCAAAAUACCACACUUUCCUAGUAAAUCAAGCACAAAUGCAAGGAAUUGUUUUUGCUUUCUAAUACUAUGGAAAACUAUAAUUUUUUAUUCGCUUCGCUUUCACCAUCCCCAACGUCGCUUUGGCCGAGUGGUUAAGGCGUGUGCCUGCUAAGUACAUGGGGUUUCCCCGCGAGAGUUCGAAUCUCUCAGGCGACGACUUUUACCUUUUCGGCACAGAACUUCCGUUUGCUCUUACAAUCUCACCUACUACUUUCUAGUAGUUCUUCACUUUUGACUGUUAAACAGUUGUUCUUUCUCCGGCUUUCAAGUCUAGACAACUUUUCGUCCACAUUAAUCGGAGAACCUGAAAUGGGAACUGGAAGGGGACCUCACCGGAGAAAGUCAAUGACCUCCUCUCCCUCUGUCCCCCUCCCCCAUAUAUAUGCCUCUUCUGACUUUUGAAUUGUCUCAAGACCGACCCUAACGCGGUGACUCGGUCGUCCCUCCGACCAGUUUGGUGAACUGGGCAAUCCAGCCAACAACAACUCACCAAACAAUAAGUCCAAUGCAUUAGGUCCACCUCUUGACACGUAGCAUUUUCUUUUUUUUUUUUUUCUAGAAAAAUGUUUGGGUAGAUUCAGCUCCAAUCAACACUGGUGUGUACCUCCGCGACCAUAGAUCGCUUACAGAAAUUCUUACAGAUAGCCCACCAACACAGUUUUCACAUUGGCGGCGGGAUUCGCAUACAUAAUCUUUUGUAAAAAAGUGAUUCAUUCUUAUUAAUUGAACAACUUGUGUUGACAUAGCCUUUGUUGUUCAUGAAAAAGGUUGCAUUUCCUUUCCAGUCUGGAGUAGUGACUUAUGGGAAUUGGAAAAUAAGGGUGCAUUUAAUAAAAUUGAAAUUUGAGAUUUGAAAUCUAAAAUCUAAAUUUAGCAAAUUACUAAAUUAUUAAGUACCAAAAUUAAUAGUACAUUUGAGUGUAUGCCACCACAUUAAGUGAUAAGUGAAUAGCUUAUCACUUAUUUUUUUAUACAAAUUUUGUCUUAAAAAAUUCAGUGUCAUUUAAUUAGUUCAAAUAUUUUAUUUUUAAUUAUCAAACGUGUCGGAAUAAGUUAAAAUUUGAAUACACUGAAUUUAAGUGAUGAAUUAGAUUACCAAACACGGUUGAGUCAAGCUUAACAUUUGGCUGCAAUCAAAGGGUUAACGGCCCCGUCAGUCUAUGACCAUAUUUAAUUUCAAUGAUAAUGUGAACGACUAAUAUAUUUUAUCAGCCUCAUUUUUUCUCAAACUUUUUGACAGUUGCUAUUAGCCUCAUCUACCUGAUGGAAUUGGUGUCCUUUAACGUGGUCAAGUGACGUUUUCUUCUUCCAUGGGCCAAUACUUGGAAUUUUUUCCUUUAAUUAUAUGAUUAAAAUUAACACACAAUAAUGACAACAAUACUGAACACACGCAGAUUAAAACUGAUCAACAACAUUACAACUAAUAACAUUAGAAAAUGUGGGAUGGUAACUAAUAAAUUCACAUUCAGUGAGAUUUAAACCCAAGAUUUGUUUAUUUACAUGAUUUAUAAAUCGUCUCUAUUAAAUUACCCUUAUUAAGUUAGCAUGGCAAAUAAUCAAUCAUCAAGCGAUCUGUUAUCUACAUGAGCAGAAAUUUUACAAAACCCUUAUUUGAAUUACUCUAUAUGCAUAUGUUUUGAUGCCCUCAAAUUGUUCAGAAUACUUCAAUAAACAACCUAUUCAGUCGACACAUUUUCAUGUUCGUGAACUAUUUUUCAGUAUUCAGUAUUUCCAAUCCUUGUGAUAAAGUGGUUAACUGAAGGGUAGAUAUUAAAGUUCUCUUGAUUACUAUUGAUUAAGUGCAUAAGCAUAUUAUUCUUUCAUCAAAUCCAAUAAAAUUCCUUAAUCACGCACGCGUUAUAGUGACAUUAGGGUACAAAACAAAAAAAAAAAA